rnacentral:lncRNA from 1 species
CCACGCUACCGCAACAAUCCUCCUCCAUGAAAGCCCACCUCCAUCACAGCAAGCAGAAAAUCCAUCACGUCAACCAUCAACCUCCACACAGACCUAACACUGCAUAGCCGUGUUUUGGGAGUGUUAGAACGUGAUUAAAGAUGAUUUAAUUUGAGUGUUCAUGGAGUUUCGCUAUAAGAGGGUGAUAGACCAGAGUAUCAAUGCUCCCUUUGUAACUUUAGGGCCAAAGAGGAGUCAGUUUACCAAAAAUUCUUCAUGAAACCAUCCAUUUAUCUCAGGGAACAUUUAUUAAGUAGAGUCAAAUAGAUUUACAGAUAAGAGACGAUUUAUUCCUUUGAAUGAAAUAACCUUAUUUCAAAUUGCCCUAAUGUGGCCUAAUAAGCAAAAUUACUGGUUAUAUUUUGGACACAUCUCAGUAGAGGUUUGGGGGAGAAAAUAGAAGAAGCAGAGAUGCUUACUUACUUCAGAGGGGCCACUGCUCGCCACCACCACUUCAUGGCUGUGCCCAUUUCACUUGCCCAAGUCACUCUCUUCUCCAAACCCUCCAUUUUACUCCACAGAAAUGCCAUCAUUGGCUUCUCCUUUUCCAUUCCUUUCUCCUCUUCUUCUGCUCACAAGAUUCAGACUCACAAGUGGAGGCAACCGGUGGUCUCGCUUCUGGAGCUUGGUGGAGUCAAGAUUGGCAGAGAUGGUAACAUACCCACAUCCCAAAAUUGCGUUUAAAAAGGAUCUUUAGCUUGAAUUUCGUGUGCCCAAUUUGCGUUUUUGCAGACAUUUGCACUCAAGUCGUGUCGUUUGUUUGCAAUUUCACAAUCUGAUUUCUUUUCUAUUGUGCGUUUUUUUUCUCCUGCUAGGUUCGAAUUCAAGCAUCCAAUUUGCGUUUUUGUGGGUAGUCUUAUGCCCAACUUGUGUAUUCAAUUUGCAAUUGUUGUUAUCAGACUUCCUUCUCUCUUUUGAGACUUACACAGUUAGAGACGUCAUUUCUGUGAAAUUAAGAAUGCAUGUUCCAACUUUCACUUCUUUCUCUCUCUCCCUCUUUUUUUUUUUUUUUUUUUGUGAAAUUGGAAUUCAAGAACUUAUUUUGCGUUUUACAAGCUUAGCGGGUUACGUUUCUGUUCUAUUUGUUGUGCUGUUGGAGGUGUUUGGUGCAUUUAUAUAACUAGGCUUGCAAUUUCGCCCUCUGAUAAAGGUUAAAUUUUCUCCCUUUUUAUUUUUUAUUUUUUUAAUGGUGUAUUUGUUUUGGGUAUUUGGUGAAAUGAGGAUUCUGUACUGGGUUUAUGGCAUUUUUUCAAUUGGUUUGAUAUAUGUGAAUGUGGGUUUUGUAGGGAAGAUAUGCAAAUUUUUUGAAAGAAGCAUGCAAUUACAACUCUGAUUUCCUUUAUAUUUAUAUUUUUUUAUGCUUAUUUGCAUAUUGGUUGAUGUCAAAAUUCAUCUAAUGGGUUGUUUUUUAUUGCUUUGGAUUGGUUUAAUGUAGUUGAAUGGUGGAUUUUGUUUCUAAAACUUAGGGUCAAUUUCAAUUUUUUUUUCUUUUUUUCAAUUUGAAGACCUGGGAGUCUAUGUGAUUGGAAUUGAUGUACUCGAGUUUUUGGAUUUUGCUGAUUGCUUGAUAAACUUGGGAUGCAGAGCCUUAAAAAAUAAACUAUAUUCACUAAACUAUAUCUCUGAUUAUACUUCGUCAAAGCGUGAAAUGCAACUUGGAGUCUUUGUAUUUUUAAAAUUUUUUGGGUUAUUCUAUUCUGAAUAUUUGGUAAAAUUAGAACUCAUGUACUGAACCUUUUUCAAGUUCUUUUGGUUGGCUUGAUAUAUUUGGUUGUGGGGUUUGUAGAUGUGGUGAGGGAUGAUCCUACAAACAAUGUCCCGGAUGCAAUUUUUUUGAAACUUGGAAUGCAGCUUCACAGGAGGGAUCAACACCCAAUUGGAAUUCUGAAGAAUGCAAUAUAUGAUUAUUUCAAUGCCAAUUACUCUAACAAAUUUGAUAAGUUGGAUGACCUUUGCCCAAUAGUCUCCACAAAAGAGGUUUGACAUUAAGAUAUAAAAUAAAAAUUGUAUGCAUGUUUUUUUUUUUUCACUGUUUUGAGCUAUACAUUGCACUAUUUGGAACUUGUAUUAUCUUGCUAUGACUGGUGCCUGACAUUUUGUUGCGGUUUUUAUUUAUUUUGCUGCCCAUUUCCUGUUGGUUUUUGUCCUGUCCUAGGUCUUUUAACAUUUAAGAAUCCAUGAAAGUGGUAUUUGCAUAUGUUGCCAAUUAUUCCAUUGACGAUGUUCUAAGUAGGGAACCUAGUAUCCAAACUUCCAUCCAAACUUCCAUAUAAAAAAAGUCCAGAACAGGCAUUCGGUUUACCAGGUUUAUCAGUUCUCUCCAGUGUUUAUUCAACUCUUAAAUGCAGUAUUCUGGACAUACUCCAAAUUUGAAAUUCCUUUGGUAAAAUAAAGGCAUGGUACUUAUAGUGGUCUAUUAAGGAAAAGGUUUGUUUGACCUAGCUUUUGUACAAAAAAUUCAAGGAUAGUCUUGCAGAUAUGUAUUGUAUAGGUGUAUAUUUCUCUAUCAUGACACAAGUGAGAAAAAAUUCACGAAAGUUGUUUUGUUUUAAUAAAAAAUUGAAAGUUAAUUUAUGUUUUGAGAGGGACAUUAGACAACCUAGGAUUCAAAGGGACAUGUUGUCUCUUAGGAAAAUAUAAUUCAUAGCAUUCUCAAUCACUUACAGGUUAUUUUAAUCCUUUUAAAUUGAUUUAUUUAAUUUUUUUCUUUAUAGUAGGCAAGCAAAAAAUAUAUUUACAACACCUACUAUUAUCAUUAUUUUGGUAAUUAGCAUUGAUGGAGAUUGUAAAAAUUCUCUAAUAGUAUUGCAGGAGAAAAAUAAUAUUUAUGAAUUUUUGUUAAACGCAAUUGUCAUAAUGAUAAUAGUUAAUUAGAAUAAUAUAAGUUUGUAAUUGGAAAAAUUUUAAAAAAUAAUAGCUUUUGGAAAUAGUUUGAAUAGGAGUACAAAAUUCUUGGAUUUCAUGGAGAGCUUAGGUGGGAUCUAAAGCAUGGGGCUGUUUGCUAUCUAUUUUAGUAUUUGCUGCUCUUCUCUCUUAUAGGUGUUCAGUUGCAGCUUGUAUUCUCUGAGCGUACUUGGGUUGUGCCCCCUUUUGUGUUCUUCAAUAUAAUCUUCAGGCUCAUGACUAGUGCAAUUUCUACUAAUUGAUCACUUUUCACUUCAAAUAAUAUUCAGUAAUCCAAAUAGCAUUUAUCAAAUUAUUUUUAACUGCCAUUAGAUUUAUAAAGAACCCAAAAUGUGAAAAUUUCUUCUUAGGCAUGAGAAAUUGUCAUUGUUAUAAACCCCAUGUUUGUCUUGUACUUACAAGCAUAAUUAUAAAGCAUGAUCUGCAUGUCUUAUCAUGAAAUAUAACAAUGUCAUAAAAUAGAUGAUUGAUAAAAUAUUAGAAGUCCAUUACAAAUGCUUAAUGGAACUGAAAAUUAUUACAGAGCAAGUGCAUAUUUCAGUCAAACUUUUAUGCAGUAGUGGUAGCUUAUAAACUCACAACUUUGUAAUCAUGUGCUUGAAUCAAGUAAACUUAAUGGAUCUCAGCUACAUCUGCUCUACAUUUUAACCAUUGUUUUAUGUUAUGGGAAUAGUGACUGAAUUUCACAGUCCCAUCAUUAUAAUUUAUGCAUGUAAAUUCAUUUGGGACUUAGUUUUCACAUGUGUUCACAUGUCAUAACUGUAAUUUCCCUAAUUUUAUGAGUAAGAAAAACUCUUUAAUUUUCCCUAUUUUGACUGAAACUUUAGGAACUUGGACUUUAUUUGGUGCAAAUGUAUGUUAUCAACUAUUGCUUUUGACCAGUCAUGAGUAGAUGCUAUUUAUAAAAGGACACAAAGGAGGAUAUAAUCCAAGUGCACUUGUAGUCGACAAGUUACUCUGGGCAUCAAAAUUGAAAGAAACAACAAUGAAGAAAAGCAUCAAGAAAGUGCCCCUACCUCCCAAACUGUCAAUGAACUACUGGAAGGAUCUACUACUAUUCAAGAUAACUUCUUCUAAGCACAACUACAUGUAACAGUACUUAGCCUGCGCUAUGGUGUCAAAAGGUAGGCUCAUUGGAACAUGCCUAUUUUGAUGGAUUUUAGUUUGUGGGGAUAGUUAAAGUGUAAAGUGUAAAGUGUUUGAUAAAAUAAAUUUGCUAGUUUUAAUAAAUUGGAAUUACUACUGAAUAAAAUGUGAAGCUAGGUAUUAGGAGGAGAAAGAAAGGUAAUUAAUUUAUUUGUAUGACACUAUGACUUACACACUGUGAAGCUUACUGGUUGGGAAUUGUUGAACAGGGGAACUUACUUAAUAGGGGAGAAAGAAUCACACAUAUUACUUGAUGAGAAAAUAUAAUUACAUUAGCCAAAGGCCAAAAAUAUAUGAGUGGUUCACUGAUUGCAUAUUAUUGGAAAGAGAGCUGAGCAUCAUAUGAUUCAUAAACUUUUUACAAUUUAAAGGCCUGGGUCCAAUGAGAUAUGUUGCAUCAUAUUACCUAAUGAACCAAUGAAGUUUAUGGAUUUCCAAAACUUCUUGGAGAGGUUCACUAUUUUAUGGUUCUUUUUUUUGAUAAGUAAAAGUAUUGUAUAAAAACCACCAAUGCAGUGGAAAAAUAAAUACAAGAAAGAACACACUCCCCACUCCCUAGCUAAAAGCCAAGGACAGAGGAGCAGCCCAACACACACCCUUAACGGGUUCUCACCCAACCAACAAAAUCAACUAAGGUCGAGGGACCAUCUUUUAUAGACAAUUUCGUCUCCGACCAAAGAAAAUAUACAAACGAAUACUUAAGCCUUUGAAUAGACAACUCUUCUUCCUCAAAGGCAAUUUUGUUCCUUGCCUUCCAAACCAUCCAAAAAAGACACAAAGGACUUGCUCUCCAAACACCCUUCCUCUUUUUUCCCACAAAAGACCCAUUCCACCCCAACAACGUCUCCUUAACAAUUUUGUUCUUUUUUUUUUAGGGUUCUUUAUUCCAAAACUUUUUGCUCCAUACCUCUUUGGAGCUCAAUUCUUUGGCAAAGCAGGAAGAAAACAAAUUAGCAUCAACUUUAGCUUGACUUGAGAUCACAAAUCCGACUAGAGAUUUUGCAGUAGUGUGUUGAGGUCUAAUCCGAAUCCAGGUUGUGAUGUGUGCAUCAAAGAGUCUUUCCAUAAGCCAUGAAGCUUUGAGGUGUUUUGUGAUGGCAUGACUGGAUAAUGAGAUGCAUUUUGGUCUGAAAUUUGGAGUUCGGUUAUGCAUUUCUGUAUCUAUAUCUCCAAAAUUAUUAACUAAUUUUAAUCAUUUUAUCUAUUUUUCAAAAUAAACAUUCAAAAUUGAAAGUUUGUGUCACGAGUCUUCAGGCUUAUCCGGAAUAGAAUGUCCUGCAUUAACUCUUGCUGUUAAUGCAUAUAAUACCAGGCGAGUCAACACAGCCAUUUGCUUGCUUAUGUUGACUUUCAAUGGGUUAAAAUUUAUGGCUUCAAUGGUUAUUACCAUGCUAACACUAAAACUAUUUUUUUGUUUUUGAUAGGUGUUGAAAUAAUGCCAAAGUUAGGACUUUAAUUUAGGAAUAAAAAAGGAGAGAUCAUUUAGGAUAUUUCCUUAUGAUUUAGUUUCCUAAUUUUAGGAGAGAAUUAAGCUAGAUUGAUUUUUUCUUAUUCAGUCAUUUGUGUAUAUAUAUGUGUAUGGUGUGUACCGAUUAAUCAUCAAUAAAGGAGUUCAGAAAUUCUUCAUGGUAUCAGAGCCAGUUUUCUGAAACCCUAAUCCCUUCUGGCCACCUCUUAUUCAGGCCAUCACUCAUUCCGGCCAAAUCUCUCUAGCCAUAUCUCAAUCCGAUCAUCUCUCUCUCUCUCAUUCCGGUCAUCAGUCCCUGUUCUCAGAGCCAAGGGAGAAAACGCUUUCUGGUCAGUCGAAUCGUCGUCAGAAAACACUCACCGCCGGCAACUUUUCCGGCGAACUUUCCGGCGACUGUUUUUUUUUUCUACACCGCAAGGAGCGCCUGGAGGAGAUCUCCAAUUUGUCCCAAAGCACCGGAACCAGAAACCCAUCCACGCGCCACCCACGCGCGUUUUUCCGCCCGGCGACUGCAUCUCACGCGCCGGCGCGUGAGGGCGCGUGAGCCACUUUCCGACGACGCGCUUCCUCCUCCAGGCUCGCCUGACGCCGACCAGCCACCCUUCUUACCUGUUUGUGCAAUCCGAGCCCUGCACGUGCCUCUUUUGGGGUUCUUUUGCUUCCGCGGGCCCUCUGAUCAGAUUUUCCGGCGUCCUCCGGCUAUUUUUUCACAACUCCAGUCCCUGCACGUGCCUUGGGAAGUGUUCUUCUACCUUUCCGGUCCAUGACAAAAUACGGAAUGGCAUCAUCACAAGUAUCCAGCGUCACGUCACCAGAAUCAGGGGGCAGAUCUGAAAUUCCAAACCUUGGUGGCAAUGAUUCCUCUCCUAUUCUCAUCACAGGACACAAAUUAAAUGGCCAUAACUAUUUACAGUGGUCACAAUCUGUGUUGCUGUUCAUUUGCGGUAAAGGAAAGGAUGAGUACCUCACUGGAGAAGCAGUCAUGCCAGAAACUACAGAACCGGGUUUCAGGAAGUGGAAGAUUGAAAACAGCAUGAUCAUGUCAUGGCUUAUCAAUUCCAUGAACAAUGACAUAGGCGAAAAUUUCUUGCUGUUUGGGACUGCAAAGGACAUAUGGGAUGCAGCCAAAGAAACUUACUCAAGUUCUGAAAAUACUUCAGAACUGUUUCAGGUUGAAUCAACUCUACAUGACUUCCGCCAAGGAGAGCAGUCAGUUACUCAGUAUUACAACACACUCACAAGGUAUUGGCAGCAACUUGACUUAUUUGAGACUCACUCAUGGAAAUGUUCGGAUGAUGCAGCAACAUACAGGCAAAUUGUGGAACAAAAGAGACUGUUCAAGUUUUUCCUAGGACUAAACAGGGAAUUGGAUGAUGUUAGAGGCCGAACCAUGGGCAUUAAACCCCUGCCAAGUCUCAGGGAGGCUUUUUCAGAGGUUAGGCGUGAAGAAAGUAGAAAGAAAGUGAUGAUGGGAUCAAAAGAGCAACCUGCCCCGACAUUGGAUGCCUCUGCCCUUGCUGCUCGGUCAUUUAAUAGUAGUGGUGGAGAUCGUCAGAAACGGGAUAGGCCUUGGUGUGAUUAUUGUAAGAAACCAGGCCAUUAUAAGGAGACUUGCUGGAAGCUUCAUGGCAAACCGGCUGAUUGGAAACCAAAGCCACGGUUUGACAGAGAUGGCAGAGCACACGUGGCUGCCAACUCUGAGAGCACAUUUGUUCCCGAGCCGAGUCCAUUCAACAAAGAGCAGAUGGAGAUGCUACAGAAAUUAUUAAGCCAAGUUGGCAGUGGCAGUACUACCGGUGUAGCCUUCACUGCUAAUCGAGGAGGAAUGAGGCCGUGGAUAGUAGACACAGGUGCUUCUGAUCACAUGACAGGAGAUGCUGCCAUUCUUCAAAAUUACAAGCCAAGUAAUGGUCAUUCAUCCGUCCAUAUUGCUGAUGGUUCAAAGUAAAAAAUUGCCGGGACAGGUUCUAUAAAACUUACUAAAGACUUAUAUCUUGACUCUGUCCUCCAUGUUCCAAACUUGGAUUGUAAUCUUUUGUCCAUUAGCAAAUUGGCUCGUGAUCUCCAAUGUGUUACUAAAUUCUAUCCAAACUUGUGUGUUUUUCAGGACUUGAAAUCGGGGAAGAUGAUUGGCAGUGCUGAACUGUGUUCCGGGCUCUACCUCCUUUCAUGUGGCCAAUUCUCAAACCAAGUCUCUCAAGCAAGUUGCGUACAGUCUCAGAGUAUGUCAGAGUCUUUCAAUUCUGUGUCAAAUUCUAAGGUCAAUAAAGAUAGUGAGAUUAUAAUGUUACACUAUCGCCUUGGUCAUCCUAGCUUUGUUUACCUUGCAAAAUUGUUUCCCAAAUUAUUUAUCAAUAAAAAUCCAGCAUCUUAUCACUGUGAAAUUUGUCAGUUUGCAAAGCAUACUCGAACAGUAUAUCCUCAAAUCCCAUACAAACCUUCGACUGUUUUCUCUCUAGUACAUAGUGAUGUGUGGGGUCCCUCCCGGAUAAAAAAUAUUUCUGGCACUCGAUGGUUUGUGACAUUCGUUGAUGAUCAUACUCGGGUAACAUGGGUUUUCCUUAUGAAAGAAAAGUCAGAGGUCGGACACAUUUUUCAAACCUUCAAUCUUAUGGUUCAAAAUCAAUUCAAUUCCAAAAUACAAGUCCUCAAGUCAGAUAAUGCAAAGGAAUACUUUACUAGUAGUCUCAGUACUUAUCUUCAAAAUCAUGGCAUUAUCCACAUAAGUUUUUGCGUUGACACCCCACAACAAAAUGGGGUGGCUGAACGCAAGAAUAGACAUCUCUUGGAGGUUGCCCGGUGCCUUAUGUUUUCCUCUAAUGUUCCAAACUAUUUCUGGGGGGAAGCUAUUCUCACAGCUACCUAUUUGAUUAACCGUAUGCCAUCCAGAGUGCUUACCUUUCAAUCCCCACGUCAACUUUUCUUAAAACAGUUUCCUCACACCCAUGCCGCCUCUUCUGAUUUACCACUCAAAGUAUUUGGUUGCACGACAUUCGUUCAUGUGUAUCCUCAAAAUCGUAGCAAAUUUGCUCAUCGAGCAAAUAAGUGCAUUUUUCUAGGGUAUUCUCCAACCCAAAAAGGGUACAAAUGCUAUUCUCCAACCAACAAAAGAUUUUACACCACCAUGGACGUCUCUUUCUUUGAACAUGUCUUCUUCUAUCCCAAAUCUCAUGUUCAGGGGGAGAGCAUGAAUGAACAUCAAGUUUGGGAGUCUUUUCUUGAGGGUGUACCUUCUUUUCAUUCAGAGUCACCAAAUCCUUCCCAAUUCGUGCCCACUGAGUUGUCCACACCCAUGCCGCCAUCAGUUCAGCCAGCCCAGCACACAAAUGUUCCUUCUCCCGUGACCAUCCAGUCUCCCAUGCCUAUUCAACCUAUAGCCCCACAACUUGCUAAUGAGAACUUACAAGUUUACAUCAGGAGGAGGAAAAGACAGGAAUUAGAGCACGGAUCACAGUCAACAUGUGGCCAAUAUAUUGACUCCAAUUCAAGUCUUCCUGAAGAGAACAUAGGUGAGGAUAGGGCUGGAGAGGUGUUAAUUCCCAGCAUUGAUGAUUCUACUUUGCCAAUUGCAUUGAGGAAGGGUGUUAGGAGAUGUACAGAUCAUCCAAUUGGGAAUUAUGUUACGUAUGAAGGGUUAUCACCAUCUUACAGAGCAUUUGCCACUUCUCUUGAUGAUACUCAGGUUCCCAACACAAUACAAGAGGCAUUAAAAAUUUCAGAAUGGAAGAAGGCAGUACAAGAUGAGAUUGAUGCACUUGAGAAGAAUGGGACGUGGACUAUCACAGAUUUGCCGGUUGGGAAGAGGCCUGUGGGGUGCAAGUGGAUUUUCACCAUAAAAUACAAAGCAGAUGGAUCAGUCGAAAGAUUCAAGGCUCGUUUGGUAGCUAGAGGGUUUACACAAUCCUAUGGGAUAGACUAUCAGGAGACUUUUGCUCCUGUUGCAAAACUGAACACUAUCAGGAUCCUUCUCUCAUUGGCUGUCAAUCAAGAUUGGUGCUUGCAACAACUGGACAUAAAAAAUGCGUUUCUAAAUGGGGACCUAGAAGAGGAAGUCUACAUGGAAAUACCACCUGGUUUCGAAGAAAGUAUGGCAAAGAAUCAGGUUUGCAAACUCCAAAAAUCCUUGUACGGCCUUAAACAAUCUCCUCGAGCCUGGUUUGAUAGAUUCACAAAAGCAGUCCUGAAGUUGGGCUACAAACAAGGUCAGGCUGAUCAUACUCUAUUUGUCAAGAAGUGUCAUGCCGGGAAAUUGGCCAUAUUGAUAGUCUAUGUCGAUGAUAUUAUUCUAUCUGGGAAUGAUAUGGGGGAGUUACAGAAUUUGAAGAAGUAUUUGUCAGAAGAGUUUGAAGUUAAAGACCUUGGAAAUUUGAAAUAUUUCCUUGGUAUGGAAGUGGCGAGAUCAAGGAAGGGAAUCGUAGUCUCUCAAAGAAAAUACAUACUCGAUCUUCUUAAGGAGACCGGUAUGCUUGGAUGCAAACCAAUUGAUACUCCUAUGGAUAGUCAGAAGAAACUUGGUAUCGAGAAAGAAAGUACACCGGUAGACAGGGGGAGAUAUCAGCGGCUUGUCGGGCGCUUGAUUUAUCUCUCACACACUCGGCCAGAUAUUGGCUUUGCAGUGAGUGCUGUAAGUCAAUUCAUGCACAGCCCCACUGAGGAACACAUGGAAGCAGUCUACAGAAUUCUUAGAUAUUUAAAAAUGACACCAGGGAAAGGCCUAUUCUUCAGAAAGACAGAGAACCGUGACACUGAAGUAUACUCAGAUGCGGAUUGGGCAGGAAACAUCACUGACAGGCGGUCCACUUCCGGAUAUUGUUCUUUUGUCUGGGGAAAUCUUGUUACCUGGAGGAGUAAGAAGCAAUCAGUUGUAGCCAGAAGUAGUGCAGAAGCUGAGUACAGAGCUCUUGCACAGGGAAUCUGUGAAGGGAUUUGGAUAAAAAGGGUUCUUAGUGAACUGGGACAAACGAGUUCAUCUCCAAUUCUGAUGAUGUGUGAUAAUCAGGCAGCUAUAAGCAUAGCAAAGAACCCCGUGCAUCAUGACAGGACCAAGCAUGUUGAGAUUGACAGACACUUUAUCACAGAGAAGGUGACUAGUGAGACGGUCAAAUUGAACUAUGUUCCUACCAAGCACCAAACCGCAGACAUCCUCACCAAAGCUUUACCUAGGCCUAACUUCGAAGACUUAACUUGCAAGCUGGGAUUAUAUGAUAUAUAUUCUCCAGCUUGAGGGGGAGUGUUGAAAUAAUGCCAAAGUUAGGACUUUAAUUUAGGAAUAAAAAAGGAGAGAUCAUUUAGGAUAUUUCCUUAUGAUUUAGUUUCCUAAUUUUAGGAGAGAAUUAAGCUAGAUUGGUUUUUUCUUAUUCAGUCAUUUGUGUAUAUAUAUGUGUAUGGUGUGUACCGAUUAAUCAUCAAUAAAGGAGUUCAGAAAUUCUUCAUGAUAGGUAAAUAAGAGCUUGUAUUAGAAGGGCCCAAGAAACUAGGCAAAGAAGACAAAAAACUUUUCCCCUAACUAGACAUAUGGCCACUCUAUAAAAUCAAUCAUAGACAAAGUAUGAUCCUCCAUAAACACUCUAACCCAAUUUACAAACGUAUACAAAAAGAAAUGUUUUAAAGGUUGGUCGGACUGUUCGAUAUCAUUAAAUGCUCUUUCGUUUCUUUCCUUCCAUAAAGUCUACAUUAAGCAUAAAGGGGCAACCCUCCAAGACUUCUCCCUUCUCUUACCCACAAAGGCACCAUGCCAACCAAGCAAAUCCCUUUUAAUCGAAGAAUGCAAAACCCACUGCACACCAAAAAGGGAGAAAAUCAAACUCCAAAGCAUCGUAGCCUUUCUGCAAAACAAGAUUAAAUGGUCACUGGUUUCCUCUUUCUCUUUACACAAGCAUAUUCAAACUAAUAACUAAUAGUUAUUGGAUUUAAAGCUUGUUUGUUAACGUUCUUCAUGGUUGUGCUUCUAUUUUUAAUCAAUUCUCUUGGCCAUCACCGUUUCCCCCUUAUUAAGAUUGGGUAUUUAAGUUUCAACGAAACAGCCUACUAAAUCCUCAAGAUAGAUCCUAUUUAUAAGGCAUGGGAGUUUUGGUCAAUGUCUGCUUCCAAAAUUCUUAUCCAUAUUUCUAUGAAUUCUUAUGCCAGAAAGUCUACUUCUUGCAGAAUUUUGAUGAUGUCUUGGUUCCUCCUGAUCACAUCAGUAGGAGUUACAAUGAUACAUACUACAUUGACUCUCAAACUGUCUUGAGGUGCCACACUAGGGCUCAUCAAGCAGAGCUGUUGAGGAGGGGACACACUCAUUUCCUUGUGACUGGAGAUGUUUAUCAUAGAGAUUUCAUUGAUUCAACUCACUACCUGUUUUUCAUCAGGUUUCUUAUUUCUGAUUUUAUCAAUGAUUGUUUUCUAUUAACAAGUUUCUUAUGUUUUCUUCAGUUCAAUAAUUUUGCUUCCUGAUCAUGCAGAUGGAAGGUGUUCGUGUCUUCUUUCCAGGUGAUUGGGAGACAUCUGGAAUGGAUGGCACAUCUUAUGUGGUUGAGGAUUUAAAGAAAUGUCUUGACGGUUUGGCGCAGCACUUGUUUGGUAAACUUAGAUCAGGAGAUUGUCUUAAUCAGAUACAAACUUAAUACUAUCAGUUGAUGCUGCAGUGAGAAAUAUGGGUUAAGGAAUUAUUUACCAGGUCUCAUAAUUCAAAAUCUGGGAAAUACAUCAAGUAAAAGGGGAGGAAAAUAAUGAAAUAAUAAAAUAAUAAAUUUAAGUGGGGGAAAGCAAUUCAUGUUAUGCAAAAGCAGUACAGGUUGGUCAUUUAGAAGUCAAAUCAAGAUAGUCCAGAAUAAUAUAGGGAAUUAUUUGUGAUUCUCAAGGUACUUGUUAAGAAUCAUUGACAAAUUACCUAAAGAAACAUUUAAGAGUGCUAUUAUUCUUGAAAUUUCUGAAAUCUAUCAGAAAGGUAGUUUUCAUCUUGGGGUUUACCAUAUACUGUAUAGAAUCUGCGUGGGCUAAAUCUGUUGAAAUUUGCAGGUAAUGUAGAAAUGCACUGGAUUGAUACAUAUUUCCCUUUCACCAACCCAUCAUUUGAACUUGAGAUAUAUUGUCAGGUAUGCUUUUGAUCUAGGUGGUGGUUACAUUUUAGCACUAUAUACUUUGAAUUUCUUUAAAACUUUGUUUUUGAACUAAUUUUCACAGAAACAGGCUCCAUUUCAUUUUUCUGUUUUCACCUUUUGCAAGAAAGGGUAAAAAUCAUUUCAAAAAUGUGAACUUCAGUUUAUUCCAUUGCUGGCAUGUGUGGCUUUCAUCUGUUAUUGAAGACACUAAGAUUCAUAGACUGAUAAUAUUCCAAUGCUUAUAAUAACAGUAAUGUUGGUGAUAAAAUAAUAUAAAAGUAGAAACAAAAUUAGUUGUCUCCCUUUUUUUUCGUUUAGUUUCUUUGUUCUUCUUACCCCUCUGAUGUGGGGAGGGGGUGUGGGGCUCUUUGUUGUCGCCAAAUGUGAAAAAGAAGAGGCAUUAUGUCCUUUUAUUUUGGAUUUACAGGACCUAUUAUGAAGGCAUUUAUGACUUCAAGACUUUUUUGUAUUUUAUUUUAUGGAAGCAUUUUUUUAGCGUCACUAGUGAAGGAGAAAUUCAUAAACAUAUAUACACACAUGCUAGUGGGCAUACACAAACACUGAUGUUCCACACAGUAAUUAAAAAAUUCUUGCUUUGAGGAGUAUCUUUUUCCUGAACUCAUGUCCAUGUCAAAUGGCAACAUGCCAAUGACUAUUUGCCAGCAGAUGGAAUGCUGGCAACACUUUUAUGGAUUGAAUGUUUUCCUUUCCCCUUUCUUUGUAGUGAAUGAUGUGUACUCUUUAGUUGCUCUUACAUAUUUGAUGCAUUGUGCUUCAUGCCCUAAUUGAUGCAGAACAGAAAAGUACCAGAAAAAAUGAUGGGAGUCUAGGAAUUACUUCCAAAAACCUUAGGCUUCGCAUAUAGGUUUAGUUUGCAUCACACAAAAAAGAAACAUUGCAAGCUGGAAGGUUUUGUGUUUUCAUUCAUUGAUCCUUUUAGAAGAUAGAGUGAUCAGCUUUGUAAACUACAACCCUAAGACCCCUAAUACUCUUUGGAACCAAUCACAGUAAUAAUAAAGCUGAGAAAUCAGAAACUUGAACUGAUAAAUAAAAAUUAAAAGGCACUUGCAAAUAUAAAGCAUUAAUGACUUUGGAAAUAAGAACACUCCAAUACCCCCCAUGCCCUUCGGAAAACUCAACCUUGACAAGUUAAAGUCAUGAAAUUUCUCAUAACGAUCACAAUUCAACUGCUGAAAUUCAUUGCUUGUGAUCCACAUACAAUCUCAAAGUGGCCUUUCUCUCCAUUCCACAAGAUGCUUUUGAUAACCUCCUCUUCUGGUUGAAACAAUUUAGUGACCAACAACUUUUCAAUCUUCUCUUUCAAUCAAGGGGCUGGUAGAAGAUGACCAUUUGGACCAUUAAUUGAUGUAGCAGCUUUAGGAUUAGGAAAAAGGGUGUGGUCUUCAAUAUUAGAGAUCUUAUUAAUGCCCAUAUUUUCUGGCAAGUCAAGUACAUAAGCGUUGGGACUUGUUUUCCUGAGAAUUUUAUAGGGACCAACAUUCUUUGAGUGGAGUUCUUAUAGGCACCUCUAGGAUAUUGUUCAGGCCUUAUUCACACAAUAACCAUAUCACCUUCAAUAAGUUCAGCAAAUUUUCUUUUCACAUCAUCGUAUGACUUAUUUAUUUAUUUGAUAGGCAAGCGGGAAAAACAUGUAAUCAUAUGACUUAUAAUUUCAUUGAUGAAAACAAGUUUCAUUGAACAUGAUAAUGUAUGCCAUCUAUAUGCUCACUAAAAGCAUCAGAUUCAAUGCUAGGUCAUGCAUCCAUUGGUAAAGGAACCAAAUCCAUAGGCUUUCUAGGAAGUGAUUCAGUCACAAUCUCAAAUGGACUGUGACCAAUAGACCUGUUCAGGGAGCUAUUAUUUGCAAAUUCGGCCAUUGAUCUGAUCUCCAGCUAGGCAGUGAAGUAAAUGAUCCAAGCUUCAAUUAACGACUUCUAUUUAGCCAUCUGUUUGAGGGUGAAAAGCAAAAGAAAACUUUAGUUUGGCAUUCAGUAUUUUCCAUAAAGUUCACCAGAAGAAACUCAUGGACCUACCAUCCAGUUUAGGAAAAUCAUGAAGGCGAACAAUUUCCUUGAAGAAGAGGUUUUUUUUUUUUUUUGAUAGGUAUUCCUUGAAGAAGAGUUUAACAAUUAGGCAACAUCUUUAGUCCUUAAGCAUGGGAUAAAUUGUACCAUCUUGGAGUAAUGAUUUACCACUACACGUAUGCAAUCAUGUCUCUGACAGUUUUCGGCAAACCAGGGACAAAAUCCAUGCAUAGGUCUAGCCAUGGCUCAUGUGGCACAGAAGUGGCAUGUAUGGAUCUGUAUUCUUCCUUUUCCUCUUUGAUAAUUUGCAGGUUCGAUGUCUGGAGACAUUCUUAGCCACAUCUUUUUCAGACUUGGUCAAUAAAAAUGAUUUUCCACCAUUGUAAUGGUUUUAUCUCUUCCAAAAUGACCAGUUGUUUCUCCAGCAUGAAGUUCCAAUAUUACUUGCUCAUGAAAUGAUGUUUUGGGUAAGCAAAGCCGAGUCCCUUUGAAGCAAUAUCAAUCAUGUAAAAAAUCACCAUAUUCUCCCGAAUUUCUAGGCACUAAAGCAACACAUAUAGUGCUAAAAUCUUUGCAAGAAGGAUAAGGGCUCUUAAACGAGUCAAAUCCAACAACUUGUACAGCAAUAGAAGAAAGAGUGUAUGCCAAUUUGCUAAGAGCCACUGCAAAGAAUUCUUUGUCAUAGAUACAAUAUUUCUGCUUUGCUUCAUUAAGAUUUUUGCUGAGAAAUGCAGUAGGGACACCUCUAACUCUUAUAUUUGAUGCAUUGCAUGCCGCUUCUAACACCUCCCGGAAAAUUGGAAGCUGCAAAACCAGUGCUUCAAUUAACGUUUUUGCCUUGGUCCAAUUCAACUGAUUUUUCUUCAUAGAAUAAGUUAUAGGGGCUGUAACAUUGCUGAAACUUAUGAUGAAAUGUCCAUGGAACAUUUCUAGCCCAUAGUAACUUUGUACUUAUUGUGAUGUGUUGGGAAUUAGGAUGGCUUUUACUUCAUUCAUACUUCCAAUCCUUUUGCCAAAACAAGAAGCCUAAGAAUACUACUGCUGAGAUCAUGAAAGAGCAUUUCUUCAAAUUUAUGUAGAGCUUUUCUUGGGGAACAACUGUCAUAACUUGCGAUAGAUGAGAGAUGUGAUCUCCUUUGGUCUUGCUGUAAUUAAGAUGUCAUCAAAGUAAACAACCAGGAACUUUUCAAUAAAUGGCUGAAGUACUUGAUUUAUGAAGCACAUGAAUGUGCUAGGGGCAUUUGAAAGGCCAAAAGGCAUGACUAGCCACUCAUAGAGGCCAUCUUUUGUUUUAAAGUCCGUCUUCCAUUCCUUUUCCAGUGUGCUGCUUAUUUGAUGAUAUCCACUCUUUAAAUCCAUCUUUGAAAAUAUGCAAGAGCCAGCCAUCAUGUCAUAUCUAACAUGUGAUUGAAUCAAGGGAUAGGAAACUGAUACUUGAUGGCUAUCUUGUUAGUAGUGUGACUGCCAACUACUAUCUUUUUUUGGUGUUAGCAAGGCAGGGACAGCACGAGGGCUUAAACUUUCAUGAAUAGUUCCCUUGGGCAGCAGCUACUCCAAUUGUCCUUUUAGUGCUUCAUGCUCACUUGGAUUCAUAUGAUAGGCUGGAAGAUUAGGCAGUUGAGGCCUUGCCAUAAAAUCUAUAAGCAUGCUGGAUGUUGCACAGAGAGGAAAGUUUUUGAGCAACAUCUAUGGUAGGUCUUUUCGAGCAACAUCUAUAGUCAUCAGGAUCAUAGGCUCUAUAAUCAAAUGAAUUUCGGUUUCUUCAUCUUUUUGUUGUUCUUGUUGUUCUUGUUGUUCUUCAUGCUCCAUUCCGAUGUACAAAUUGUUCUUUGGACAAUUUAGGUUAUUUGGCCGGGUUGUUGACACUUAAAACACCUAUUAACCUUACCCUUAGGGUUAGCGGCAUUAGAAGAAUACAACUUAGACCCUGUAGGUUGGACAAAUGGCUCGGAUUGGCCUAUUCUUGCACUGCAACCUACAUCAGUGAACCUCCUCUGCACUGGUUCUAUGGAUGAAACUCACAUCCCAGGUACGCCUCCAUAUCUAAUGCAAAUUGAAAAGCUUUUUCUAGGCUGUAUAAUGGAUGAUGCAUCAACUCUCUUCUCAUUUUAGGUCUCGAUCCAGCUUUGAAUCAUGCAAGAGUUUGCCCUUGGGUCUUCUACUAUUUGACUCCAAGUCUUUAGCUCAUGUAAUCUUUGCAUGUACUUUGGUCUCUGCAACAGACAUGUUGUUUUGAUUCAUAGUAAUGAGGUGAUUACAUAACUUAUUACAAUAAUUGGUCCUGCAUAUAUUUUUCACAUAGCUUAUCCUUCAUCUCCUGCCAUGUGCUGACAGGUGGUAGCCUCAUCUUCCCAUCUUCCUAGUAUCUCUUUCAACAUCUAUCCACUAAUCUUUUGCUAGGCCUACUAGUUUCAUUUUAGUAAACCACCCUCUCUGUUCAUCAUUCAUACAUACCAAUCAAAACAGUCCUCAAUUGUAGCUAGCCAAUCAACAAAUUGAGUAGCAUCGCCCUUCCUUCAAGUUAGGAACUUCUCCUUUUACUUUCCUUGUGAUAUCUUCAGCAGUUUCACAAGGUUUACACCUUGUUUCAGGUAGUCCUCUAGCCCAUUCAGAUAUAGGAUAUUGUGGUGCAUGUCCGAUGUUCCUCCAAGUUUUUGUUGUUAUUAAUUUGAGAUAAUUCUCCUUGCACAACACGUGCUAAAUCAUUAGUGGGCUGAGAUAUUUGUGUCUCAAUGUUGCUUAGUUGAAUAUGCAGGCUAUCAAGCUGUUCCAUCACCAAAAUAGUAUCUCAUCAUGUUGAUUAUUAGAUAAAUCUAUUUUGAAACUCCUCCUAGGUCUUGUAAUCAUGAUCUCAGCUUGCUCUGAUGCCAAAAUUGAUGCCAAACAGAAAGGUAAUAGAAAACAUGUUGGGACUCUAGGAAUCACUUCCAAAUCUUAGGCUUCACACUUAAGUUCAGUUUGCAUCACACAAACAAGUUGAACUGUCACAGUACGAUUGGUUCAUAAUAAGGUGUCAUCUGAUUGGUUCUCGUGGAGGCAACCUGUGAUUGUUCAAACUGGAGGCUGCACCUGAUUGAUUACAUUGAAAGUUGGAAGGUUUUGUAUGAGAUAAAUGAACCAACUUUAUCCACUAUAACUCUAGACCUUAGACUCUUUUGGAGCUAAUGGCAAUACUAAUGAAGUUGGAAAAUCAACAAUGUGAACUGAUAAAAAAAAUUGAAAGACUCUUGAAAAUGUAAAGCAUUAAUGAUUUUGGAAAUAAGAACACUUGUGAUCCUUUGACUAGACUCAUAAACAAAACUUAGACUGAAAUCCACAUUGAAGUAUAUAAAAUCCCAACUGGGCCUAUUAUCAUCCUAAGUAUACCAAAUCAUAAUUUGGGCCUUAAGAGUCCAAUCUCUAUGCAUUUGUUAACCUUUCACAGGUGAUUGCCACUUGUCUUCAUCGCUAACAAACACGAUUAUAGCAUCAGAGAAGAGCCAUGUCCCCAAAUCUGGCAGUAAAAGUUCUUUUUACAAGCUAACCUCAGGGAUCCAAUUACUACAUUAUUGUGUUAACCAUGAGCAUUGGUGCUCCUGUUCUGCUUGCAUGGUUACACUGAACCUGCUAUCCAAAUGUGUUGGUUGACCGAAUGAGAAACUCUAGGAAAAUGAAUGAAUUCAUAGUGACAUAGCAACAUUGAAUGCAACUUGUGUGUUUGUGUGAACAGGAUUGGGCGAGUUAAAGAGAGUUUUUAGAAGGGAUAAUACCUUUUUAAUUGGUCUUAGUGUUCAGUAUGCAGCUGGUUCAGUGAUCAGGAGGCCAGUUUAUAAUACAAUUUUCUUGAGAUUUUUAUUGAAGUGAUCCCUUGAAAAGUCAGGCUACUUUUCCAAGAAGUAAAUAUUUUAUCUUGUAGGUUGUAAAAGAUGCAUUCUCAGAAUAGGUGCCUUGAUUAUGUUUCUUCAGCAGAAGAACCUACAAUUAGGAUCCUGUGUAUAUCCUUUCUUGGAAUUUUCAUAAAUUUACCAGUAUUAACUUCCUAUUUUAGGACUAACUGUUCAGAAAAUCUAUGGAAAAGACUAAAGAGUAAGUACUAAGUAGAACCUCCAAGGGCUGCUAAAAAGCACUUCCCAGGGCCAUGAGCCAAAACUGGGCCAUUUGGAAAGGGGUUGUAACAAGUCACUUGACUAGGGGUUGUUAGAGGCCAUCAUUAGCCAAGAUUGGUUUUAGAUUCAACUUUAGGAAUUUAUUUAUUUUUCCUGAUUUCUCUUUUAUUUUUAGUUACAUAAUCAUAUUUGACUCUUGCUUUCCACUCUAAAUUCACAAUAUGUGAACCUUAUGAUAGAAAUUUUUAACUUCAGAACAUGAGUUGGGAUGUAUCAGAGAAGAAAGUUUCAAAUCCCUGGACUAGCAUUUCUGUAAUGCCUCAAUGAAAUUUUAUUGUAUGAUUAUCUACUUGAAGUAGCAAACCAUUAUCCUUUUAUUGCCAUUGAAUUGUGAAACCAUUAUGCCAUUACAUUGACAUCUCCAAAUGAAUUAUUUUAAUUUGAAUAGUUUUGCAUUAACUUAUUAUUUGACAAUCAUUGCCUAUAGUUUUUUGGCAGAACACUAUGAUCUCACUAAGCAACAUCCAUUGAUAAUUUAUCAGGAGAAAUGGUUAGAAGUUUUAGGUUGUGGGGUGACAGAGCAAGAAAUAUUACAGAAAAGUGGUAAAACAGGUAAUGUUGCUUGGGCUUUUGGGCUUGGAUUGGAACGGCUAGCAAUGGUUCUGUUUGGGAUACCUGAUAUUCGGCUUUUCUGGUCAACUGAUGAGCGGUUGACCUCUCAAGUAAUUCCCCAAUUCAGUAAAUGAUACUGUAUUUUAUUUUAUUCUCCUUUUCUGUCUUUGUGGUUAAGUAAUCAUUACCAAAAUUGAUAUCCUUAGGAAAAUAAAGCAUGCUGAAAAUUGACCUUGUUGACAUUCUUAAUGUCUGAUUUAGGUUCCCUGAAUGUUUAAUUUAAAUGCUUUGUAUGCAGUUCUCAAAGGACCAGCUUGGGGUCAAGUUCAAGCCAUUUUCAAAGGUAUUGCUUAUAUUUUUCUCAGUUUGAUAAUAGUAGUAUCUUCUUCUGAUGUUGUGUUAAUUGAAACUGUUGCAUAAUUUUCAUGCAAAAGGAUCCAAGACAUUUUGGGGGCCGGCAUUUCUAAGUAUAACCAGAAAAAGUCCUUUAUGCAAAUAUGUCUUUUACAUUCUGAAAUCGAAAAAAUUAAUUACACACAACAUAAUAACUAAAUAUUUAUACCUGUUAGAGCCCCUUGUAACCUUCUCUAUUGGCUGCUAGAAACUGACUAUUGUCUUUUUGCAGUAUCCUCCUUGUUACAAGGGCAUGAGUUUUUGGAUUAAUGAGUCGUUCACAGAAAACAAUUUAUGUGAGGUUGUAAGAGGAGUUGCUGGAGAUUUUGUCCAGGAGGUAUGCCUUUUUAUGUUUCUUCUUGUAAAUUGUUCAUUAGCUAUAGAUCUCUUCAUGGUUCACUUGGUAGAAUUUUCCUAACCAUUUGUAUAGUUACACUGAAAGCACCGAACCAAUUUGUGUUUUAAUUAGGGGUGUGCAGGGUUUGGUUUGUUUAGUUUCGAACUUUAAAAUAAAACCAAACCAGUCUAAUUGGUUUUAUGUAUUAGGAACCCAAGCUGGCCUAAUCGGUUUUAUGUAUUAGGAACCAGACUAAUUGAACUGAAAGAGGGAACUGAUCGGUUCAGUUCAGUUUAAUAGCAAUAAUUGAUAUAAGUUAAUUUACUAUAUUUCGGUCAAGAAAUAAAAUAAUUUUUUUUUUUUUAAUCAAUUUGGGUCGAAACCAAAAAGCUCAUAAUAGGACAUUGUUGGUCAAAAAGCUUAUAAUAGUUUAUUACAACAAGUUGCUUUAGAGUUUGCUCAAAUUACAUCAUUGUAACUCAUUUCAAAUCAUAUUAUUGUAACACAGCCGCAUGAAUAACUGUUGUUAUAGUCUAUGCUUAUCAUACUAAGUUUGGUUUGGGAUUCUAUCGAGUGUGAAAGAAGUGCACCAAAUUAAUAAGGUAACCAAUGGUUAUUGUAUAUUAUAGGUGUAUGUAUAUAACUUUUGAUUUGGUUUGGUUUAUUAUUUGUUUUCUAAAUGGCAUAGUUCAGUUUUUUUUAGAAAACCAAAAUUGUUGAAAAAUCUUUAAAAAUUGAUUGGUUCAGGCCAGUGUGGCUCAGUUCUAUCAUUUUUGUCCAUUUAAUCGGUUUUUAACACACCCCUAGUUUUAUUUCACUUUUCAGUUCUUGGACUUUCCAUGAAAAUAAUAUUGUUGUCAUGAAGCUACUGAGGCAGUUAUGGACCAAUUCCAUCCUCUGAAUUUGCUCAUAAAAGAGAUCCUCUCUCUUCUCUUCUUUUCUAUCUACCAUCAGUUGCAAUAAUAGAUCCAGUUUGCACAAAGCCAAGCUUAGAAAAUCUGGUCAUUGACAACCUGAAUAGUCUCUGGGAGCAUCCAGUAUCUUUUCUCCUUUGUGAGGGUGGAUAACUGGUCUGGGUCCCCUGCAUCAUUUUUCAUAGGUUGCAGAGCUGCUGUGUCCGUAUAGGAAAUAACAUGUUCUUCCUUCAUAGCUUUAAGUGCCAUCAGGAAUUGGAUAUGCUAAUAUGAGUGGGAGGACUCCAGAUGGUGGACUUACGAAGACCUCCACUCUGAUUCAUUGAUGCCAAACAUAUAAUUGUGAUAAAGAGAGGCUUCGGAAGUUGAUAUUCUUUUAAAGUGUUUCCAAUAUUGAAGGUUUAUAAAGAGGUUCAAAUUGAGAAAUUACUAUUCUCUAAAUAAUAGGAUCGUAGUCGGUUUUUCGUUCAAAAUUUGUCCUAUAUUCCAAGAUGAUUGUUGACAAUCUGAUCUAUAGUUAAACAGUGGCCAUAAUAAGUCCCUAUUUUCCUAGUGCCUGAAAGUGAAGCUCCAUUCUGAAGUUUUCUAAACUAUAAGAUACAUUUUUGACUUCCAGGUGCAAUUGAUCGACAAUUUCACCAACAACAAAGGAAUGACCAGUCAAUGUUAUCGGAUAGCAUACCGGUCCAUGGAGCGUUCACUUACAGAUGAGGAGAUAAAUGAGUUGCAGGUAUUUCAUGUUUAGGGGAUUUUGUACAAGUGAUUAAUAUUUCGUCUUGAUUACAGGUAAUGACUAAUAACCUGGAAUUUGGCUAUGAUUCUGGGGUGCAGUGGAAUGUUAGGGAGCAAGUGCACAGCAAGUUGAAGGUUGUUCUUAGAUGAGAUUUCUGAUGCUGGGAACCUAAUUUUUCUAUCUCACUCUGAUAAGUCUCCUUGUGAACAUUUUCUAUUAUUAUUCUUUUUGUUCCUACCUUUUACAUUUUGAACUAGGUACAGUUGGGAAAUUAGGCAUUCAAAACCAGCUUUAAUGGGAGAAACACUUUAGGAAAAUAAGGAAAAUGUACUAGAAAGAAUAAUGCAUACGUUGAUCAAUGUGAAAUUUAUUUUUGUAUACAAUGUUUCUCUAAUAAUUUUAACAAUGCCUGACCUUAAAUAUAGUAAUUAAUUGCUCUUUUGCAGUUGUAUUCCCUUUUAUUUUAAUUUUUAAAUUUUUUUUUUUUUUUUAAGAACAUCACAAACAACUAUUUUAUUAUAUUAAAAUAGUAGGUACAAAGCAAGAUGAGAAAUCUUCCCAAUUAGUAUAAAACACCCUUAUGCAAUAUUUAUGAAAAUAGGUGUAUAGUGUCCAAAAAGAUCAAUUUAUCUUAUAGGCCAAACUGGUUUGGACAAUGCUCACUAUAGAUCCAUAAGGUAAAAAAAUCUCUUAUAGAAGAAACCGAAUGUCUUCCUCCAUGCUUUGCUAACACUCCCAGCACAAUUGCUUUAGCAAUGAACAGCAAUGAACCUAAUAAAAUGGCCAUAUCAUUUCUGAUCUAAUAUCAAUGAUUUGAAGUUAUGACCCCUCAAACUUCUAGGGUUCUCUUUUUUUUUUCCUUGGUCAUCCGUGAUAUUAGAAUGGUAGAAGCUACUUCUAAUAGGAGAUUGGAGAGGCCUAAAGCUUUUGCUUGCAAUAAACUCUCUAGAAAGGUUAGGAUCUUUGCCUCAAUGGCUAAACUCUGACUUGCAUAUAUAGAGAAUUCUCUUAUUAUUAUACCAAAGUGGUCAUUGAGUAACUCUCUAAUCCCCAACUCCCCUAGUUACCCAAAGAACCCCAUUAACAAUUAGCAUAUAACUUAUGCAGCACAUGCUACACUGAUGGAGCCUUUAGGAACUAUUUUCAUGUUUGUUAGGCUAAUUCAUCCUCAAUAUUAUGUCAAUGCCAACUUUUAGCUUGAGUUUGAAUUGCCUAUAUUAUGGAAAGAAAAUAAGAUAGGAAGAAACAUGAAAUUCUCUUGUUUGAUUUACUAUAAAAAAAUAUGAAGAAAAAUAAAAUAUAGUAGAAAUGACUUAAAACCGUUAUACGUUCAAAUUCUUUAGUUUUUCUAUGAUAGAAAAAUAAAUUUGAAGAAGCAAGUAACUUUAGUUCAAAUUCAUUUUAUUGGGUAAUCAUUGUUUUUAUUACCCAUCUCAAGUUGUUAAGUCUUUCAAGCCUUAAAACUGAUUAGAGGUGAUUGUGAUAUCCUACAUGGGAUAGGGAAAAAAGUUUAUGACAUUAUACAUGUAUACAUUUCUUUUAAUAAUAUAGACACAUUUAAAGUCACGAGGGAUCAAAAUGAACGAUAUCAAUAUAAAAUGAGAACAAUCUAUUACAAUUAUACUUGCAAUAACCUUAAAAAAUUUGGAUACAUAAAACUACAAUCAUGUUUUUGUUGGGAAAAACGGUGUAGUAAAUACUUUUUUGUUGUUAUAUUAUAAAAACCAUAAAUUUCUAAAUUUCCGUUUCCUUUUCAAUUCUUUAUAUGUUUAAAAUUUUCAUCCAAACCAAGAUCCAAGAAAAACUUAAAACAAAGAAAAAAUGAAAAAUUAAUUUAACAUGUAUAAUUUUUUAAUAAGAAUUUAUAAUUCAUAAUUCAAACGAUAUUGUGAAUUGUAGACACUGGAUUAUACUUAGAGAAUCAUUCAAAGAAUGACGGUCAUGUGAAUGACAUAGGAUACCCAUUGCGUGCAUGUGACAUCUACUUCAUUUAGAGUCAGUUUGACAAUUAUUCUAAAAAACGUUUUUAGUGUAAAACAUGUUUUUGAAAAAAAAAAUUAGAUGCUUGACAAAAUUUAUGAAACACUUUUAAGAAUCUAAAAAAUCACGUAUAGUGUUUUAUGAAGAAAAACUUAAUAAAAAGUGAUUAUCCUCAAAAUACUUUCAAAGAAUACUUUCAUUAAAAAUACUUUAAAUAAAAACACUACAAAACAUACCUUUGAUUCAUUAUAAAGUAAUUUUCAUAUUUUAUAUAAUUAGACCCAUGCGAUUUGUCCACUAUUCAUGAUGAAUUUCCCUAUUUUAUAUAAGAACCCAUGAGAUUUGUCCACUGUUCUCUUUUCCAACUCUUCCAACUUCUUAUCUAAUAUUUAAAAUUGAUAAAUAUGAAUCCCUUUACCCUAGAGAAUAGUUCUAAGUGAACAGCUUAGCUUAUUUCAGUUUUCAUCUAAAGCAUAAUAGGUAUUCAUUUUACAUUCUAAUUCAUCUCCAUUCUCAUCCUAUUCUUCUUAGUCGGACAUGCCAAACACAUCCUUAAGCCAAGGAUGAACUUAUCGGUUAUGACUAAUAUAUCGAUAAUUUAAUUUUAUGGAUGUAUUGAGAUACAUGGAGAAAUAUCGGUGGAUAUUUUGAUAUAAAAUAUAAGUAAGAUAAAUAGAUUAAAAUUCAUGAAAAUGUUAAAAGAAACUUUAAAAAUGAUAUAAUAAAUAACAAUAAAGAUUUUAAAGUUGGUAUACUAACGAAAAUGAUAUAUGUAUGAUAUAGUUUAUCAAAUUUGAUAAUAAUAUAUGUGUGUUAAUAAAAAAUUAUUAUUUUGAUAUGUCAAAUAUUAUUCGAGAAUAAUGUUGCAACUUUUGUUUAUAAUACAAGUAAUUUUAAAAUAUAAUUAAUAUUAAAAUUGUGAUCUAUUUAAUUCAAUUAUAUAUAUAUAUAUAAAAUUUCUUUAACAUUUAGUAAAUAUAUUAAUGAUAUAAAAAAAGCUCUGUGAAGAAAAUUGUCAUCAUAAUUUUUAUGCCUUUUGUAUUCAAUUAAAUGAAAACUUUCAUUUAAUUAUCAAAUGAUUAUAAUUAAUUAAUUUAUUAAAAUAUUCUUAUAAUAUUUAUUUUUAUAAUGGCUUUUAAUAUAUAUAUAUAUAUAAUUGGUCGUCUUUUGUCUAGAAUUCGAAUUUACCGUGUUGACCAUGUUUGAUCAAGAAUAUUACUCGAGUUUUGACCACAUUUGAUGAUUGAGAAUGUCAUCGAUGUUUCGUGAUUUUUUAAUCCUUACCUAAAACAUGACAUUUUAUUUCGUUUUUAUUCUCAUCCUAUUCUAAUUUCUAAUCUGACAUACCAAACACAUCUUACGGUCUUCAAAGGUUUUGUCCAAGGUCUAACUCCCAAAGAAUUGGUGUGGUGAUCAUUAUUUUUGUUAGCCAUCAAAAGUCGUUGGAUCUUUCAAGUCCAAGGGAAAAAAAAAUUAAGCAUUUUUUAAAUAAACAUACCAAUUUAAACAUUUUUUUAAUAUAUAUAUUUUGGUAGCUUUCGUAUCAUGAUGUUGACAUCGUUUAAAAUUGGGAAACUUGUGUUUUGGUCCUCUGAUAUAAAAAAUAUAUGCUUUUGGAAACUAAAAUAUAUGAAAUAUGAAAUCCAACUAUUAAUGGGAAAAAUGAUAUCGGAAACGUGCACUAUGUCCUGUUUACUUUUCCUCUUCCCAUAUUGCCCCUAAAUUUCCCCAUGUCAUUAGCAAGUCCUCUCCAUGUUAGCAGAAUAAUCUGAAACUUGAACUAAUUCUCAAAGUUGGAACAUAAAAAAACCCAACCCUAGAACCAAAAGUAUGGAAACUCGUCUACGUUACUGAACAAGGAAGUGUCAAAAUGUGCCUUUUAUUGUGCCUUUGCCUGAGACGACUUAGUAGGCGCUUGCCUUAUGCCCUAAAAAUGAAUAGAAAAGAAUUAAUGGCUUGGAUUGUGUACCAACAACCAAUCUCCAUAAAAGUCAUUUGCCUUGAGUUGGUAAGGGAACUUGCUGCAAUUCAAUCUAGGGUUAUCAUAGAUCAUCUAUUUUAGCUCUCAAUGUUGUUUCAGGUAACAUAUUUGAAUGAUAUUUUAUGAAUUUCAUUUAAUACAAUAUGUGUUCUAAAUGAUGCUUCUUUUUUUAUAAUUAGAGUUAAUCUCUAUUUACUUUUCUUAGAUUUUACCAACUGUAGUUAGAAUUCCUCCAGUUCAUCUUUUAAAGAAAAAACAACAUUCGGUUGAUUAUGGGUGUUGCAAUUUCUAUUGGAUGUGUGAGCAUCAUACUAAUAUGUGAAGUUUUUUACAUAAAAAGGAAAUCUUUAGAUGUUAAUGAGGAUGAAGGCACUUCUUUUGCUCAAUAUUACUAAAUUUAAGCUUCAGAUGUCAAUGAGAAUGUCAAUGGGCUUUUUUCUACAGAUGUCAUGGUAGCAUCUUUAGUUAGUAUUAUUUGCUGCCCAAUUAUAGAAGACCCAAGAAGCUGGAUGGGCUUGAGAUGCAUGGAGUGGUAGUUGAGUGAUUUAUCUUAAUGUUCUUGAUUCAACUUUUUGCCUGUAAUAUAGCAAUGACAUUUCCCUAAGAAUAAAGUCAUCUCCAAAGAAUCUUUGCACAAAUACACAAUGAUCAUAAGUUGUCUUGUUGUAUCCUUGCUUCUCCAUAAUUGACUCAAACUUCUUGUAUCAUUGCCUAGGUGCCUGUUUCAUGCCAUAAAGACUUUUCUUCAAUCUAUAAAAAUAAUCUUCUUGUCCUUUUACUUUGAAUCCCUUUGAAGGCUCCAUGUAUAUCUCUUUCUCCAAGUCACCAUGGAGGAAAGCAAUUUUCAUAUCCAUUUGUUUAAUCUCUAAGUCAAGACUAGCUGCAAGACCAAACACUACACAAAUGGAUGACAUUUUCACAAUUGGAACAAAGAUUUCUUCAAAGUCAAUGCCUUUCUUCUAGCUAAAUCCCUUGACAACUAGUCUAGCCUUGUAUCUUGGGUAUGAAGUGUGUUCUUCUUGCUUCACCCUGUACACCCAUUUGUUUUCCAAGGCUCAUUUUUCCUUUGUGCAGCUUCAUUAACUCAAAAGUGUGAUUAGCAUGCAAGGACUUCAUCUCAUCUUGUAUAGCCUCAAUCCACUCUCUCUUCUACUUACUCUCUAUAGUUUCUUCAAAGCUCUUAGGUUCUUCCCCAUCAAUGAAUAUGACAUACUCUUUUAGGGAGCAUCUUGUGGAAGACUGACGAUUCCUGGUAGACCGUCUAGAUGAGACUAUAGGAGUAGCUUGUGGUACUUGUGGCUAGUCAAUAACUUCAGAAUUUAUAACCUCUAUAGGUUCUAAAUCAUCACUUGCACCAUGUGGUCAUUUUGUGUCUCAACAUCAAGUUGAUUUGCCAUUGGUGUUAAAGAAAUUAUUUCCAAGUCAAUCAACUUGUCACUACUAUCAAAUUUUGCUUUCUCCACUUCAUCAAGGUCUAUUAUUGUCUAGUCUUCCAUAAAUACAAUGUCUCGACUUCUAAUCAACUUAUUCUCAACUGGAUUAUACAAUCUGAACCCAAAUUCAUUUUGGCCAUAACCCACAAAUACACACUAGCGUGUCUUCACAUCAAGCUUGGACCUUUCAUCUUUAGGAAUGUGCAUAAAGGCCUUACAUCCAAAGACUUGCAAAUGAUCAUAGGAAACAUCUUUGCCUAUCCAAACUCUAUCUAGCACAUCAAACAACAAAAGAAUAGAAGGUGAGAAAUUCAACACAUGAACCACUAUAUUUAAAGCCUCACCCUAGAAAGAUUUAGGCAACCUUGCUUGUGAAAGCAAACAUAUCACUCUCUCAACCAAUGUUCUAUACAUCCUUUUAGCCAAACCAUUCAAUUGCGGUAUCUGUUAGCCUAAGGGCUCCUAAUCGGGUUUUGAUGAUAACAAACCAUGGUUAAGUGACUAAUUGGUUUAAUGAUUAAGAAUCUUAGGCAUAAACUCGAAAAUUCAUCAAAUGACCAAAUGGAUACAAGAUCGAGACGCUUGGAAGACUUGUGAUCAUAGGAAACAAAUGUAAGAUGAAUGCAUGAGUGCACUUAGGAUUUUCACACGUUUCAUGCAACUUAGAAAACUCGGUUUAUUCUUUAAAACUUUGAUUUCAUUAAAACCCGAGUUUUUAACUAAUGUACCUUAGGCAAAAUGUUUUAUAAUUGGUUUAAUAAUUCACCUAUUGACCUUGCCUAAGUGUUAGAAAAGAAAGAAAAUAAAAAAAAUAGGUUUUCGAGGCCAAAAAGGCUCAACUGGUCGAGGCUAUGGCCAAUCGGCUCAACCGGUUAAGGAACCGCUCGACUGGUUGUGCUCGUCCGGUUGAGGGAUGCGAAAAACUUUCUCUCUCUCCCAGUGGCCUUCUCUUUCUAGUCGAAGUGAUUCUCUUCCCGAUCGAUGUCCGAUCGAGGAUCGGUCGAGGUUCGGUCGAGGCAACGGUAACCUAUCAAGCAUUAAAUUCUCCAACGGCUAGUGAACCAGUCGACCCCUAGCUCGACCGGACGAGGUUACCUUUUGCUGUUUUUGACUCCUGAGCUUAGAAACCUAUAAAUUGAGAGCUCCACUUCAUUUAUUGAUAAGAGAACACUUGCAUUCAAUAGUCUACCUACUUGUUCUUGAUCAAAAAGUUCUCAUUUCUUUCAUAGUGCAUUAAAUCACCACUUGCAUAUCCUUUAGUGCACUCUUGUGUGUCAUCCUAGCUUUGUCUUAUAUUUAAGCUAUCCUUAAGCUAGGUUGAGGGAUUAUUUCUUGUAAAAAUCUGGGUGUUAAAGCCUUCAAGAGGUUUGAAUCUUGAAGAGAUUGUGUAAGAGCCCAUUGAAGCCGGAAUCCAAGUGUAAGAAGAUUGGAAGCUUGGUUGAAGCUUCAAGUUAGUGGAACCCACACUUAGUUAGGAGAUUGAGGAGAGUGGAUGUAGGCAAGGAAGUGCCGAACCACUAUAAACUCGAGUUUGAAUUCUCUAGCUCUAUCUUUUUAUUUUGCUUAUAUUGUGUUUGAAUUUGUUGUGAUUGAAAAGUUUUUAAAAACCCAAUUCACUCCCCCCCCCCCCUCCCCCCUCUCCCCUCUCCCUUUUGGGUGCUUUUCUUAAUUAAGCAUAGCCUUUGUUUUCUCAAUUGGAAUUAGAGCUAGACCUCUUGUUUUUUAAAGACUUAAUCAUCUAAGAGGAAAUGGCUAUUCCAUCAAGCUCAUCCCAAGCUGAAAAUUUUUCAAAACAUAGAGCUCCAUUCUUUACGGGAACCGACUAUCCCUAUUGGAAAACUAGAAUGACUUGGUAUUUGCAAUCUACAAAUUUAGAUGUAUGGGAUGUCAUUGAAGAUGACCCAACUUUUCCCACUAAAUUAGUUGAUGGAGUUUUGGUUCCAAAACCCGAGUAAGAAUGGAAUGAGCUUGAUAGAAGAAACUUUCAAUUAAAUGUUAAAGCCGUUUUUACUUUGCAAUGUGCUAUGGAGGUUGCUUGAAAUAACUCAUGAAGGAACUAAUCAAGUGAAAGAGUCAAAAAUUAAUUUACUUGUUCAUAAGUAUGAAUUGUUUUUAAUGAAAGAAAAUGAGACUACUAUUGAGAUGAUUACUAGGUUCACUGACAUUGUCAAUGGUCUUGAAACUUUUGGAAAAACCUGCAAGGAAUCCGAGAAGGUGAUGAAGAUAUUGAGGUCUCUCCCAUCAAAGUGGCAUACCAAGGUCACCACAAUUCAAGAAGCAAAAGAUUUGACUAAGCUACCUAUGAAAGAGCUCAUAGGGUCAUUAAUGACAUAUGAGAUCAAUUUGACAAAUAAGCUACAAGAGGGUGAAGAUAAAAAGAAGAAGAUCAUAGCCCUCAAAGCUACAACCAAGGAAGAAGAAGAUGUUGAAGAAGAAAAACCAAGUGAUGAAGAUGAUGAUUUAGCCCUCAUCACAAGAAACCUCAACAAAUACAUGAGAUGUGAAAGGUUUCGAGGAAGGAAGUUCACCUCUAAAAGAGAUCCUCCUAAAAAGGAAUCAUCCCAUGGUGAAAAGGAGAAAUGAGAAGAGAAAAGAGAUUUGAUAUGCUUCAAGUGCAAAAAACCGGGACACAUUAAAUAUGAUUGUCCUCUAUACAAAAGUGAAGCCAAGAGAAGAAUGAAAAAGGCAAUGAUGGCCACUUGGAGUGAAAGUGAAGAAUCCUCCGAAGAAGAAAAGGAGAAGGAAGUGGCAAACAUGUGCUUCAUGGCAAUAGAUGAUCUUGAUGAGGUAAACUCUAAUUUUAUUGAUGAAGAUAUGCAUGAUGUUUUUGAAGAAUUAUAUGAGGAUUUUGAAAAACUUAGUUUGAAAAAUAAUUCUCUUAAAAAGAAGAUUCAAGAACUUGAAGAAGUCAAAGAAAAAAUUUCAAUUAUUGAAAUAUCUAAAACUCAUCUUGAAAAAGAAAAUGAGAUUUUGAGAAGUGAAAAUGAGAUUUUGAAAAAGAAAAAUGAAUGGUUGACCUCAUUUCUUUCAAUUUUCUCUUGUGGACAAAAAUAUUUUGAAAUGAUCUUAGCUAGCCAAAAAUGUGUCUUUGAUAAACAAGGGUUAGGAUUCAAAUCUUCAAAAAAUCAAAAGUAUUUUAAAAACUACUUUGUAAAAGAAUCCACAAGUGCAAGUCCUUCUACCAUUUGCAACUUUUGUGGAAGAGGAUGACACAUUAGUAGUACAUGUCCCCUAAGAAAUGGUUCUUAAAAGAAUUCAAAUGCCAAGCUAAAAAGGUUUGGGUUGAAAAAUCCAAAAUCACUAACCCUCAAGGACCCAAAAAAAUAUGGGUACCUAAAUCAAUUUAAAUUUUGUUUUGUAGGGUUUAAAAAAGGAUAAAUGGUUCUUGGAUAGUGGAUGCUCAAGACACAUGACCGGGGAUGAAUCCAAGUUUGCCUUCCUUACAAAGAGAAAGGGAGGAUACGUUACCUUUGGAGACAAUGCAAAAGGAAGGAUCAUUGGUCAAGGUAACAUUGGUAAUGGCACAUCCUCUCUUAUUGAAAGUGUUUUAUUAGUGGAUGGUUUAAAACAUAAUCUCUUGAGCAUAAGUCAACUUUGUGACAUAGGUUUUAAAGUGAUUUUUGAAGCAUCUCAUUGCAUCAUCAAAGAUAUUCAAAAUGAUAAAACCAUCUUCAUGGGCCAUAGGUGUGACAAUGUUUAUGCUAUAAAUAUUUCAAAAUAUGAUGGCCAUGAUAGAUGCUUUUCAAGCAUGCAUGAUCAAAGUUGGUUGUGACAUAGGAGGUUGGGACAUGCUAACAUGGACUUCAUUUCCCAACUCAACAAAGAUGAACUUGUUAGAGGCCUUCCCAAAAUAAAUUUUCAAAAAUACAAAGCUUGUGAAUCUUGUCAAAUGGGAAAGCAAAUAAAAAACUCUUUUAAAAACAAAAAUUUCAUUUCAACAUCUAGGCCUUUUGAAUUGUUGCAUAUGGAUUUAUUUGGUCCCUCUAGGACACCAAGCCUUGGAGGAAAAUCUUAUGCUUUUGUUAUUGUGGAUGACUUCUCUAGAUACACUUGGGUUUUAUUUUUAAGUCAAAAGAAUGAAGCCUUUUAUGAGUUUUCAAAGUUUUGCAACAAGGUUCAAAAUGAAAAAUGUUUUACAAUUACUUGUAUAAGAAGUGAUCAUAGGAGAGAAUUUGAAAAUAUUGAUUUUGAAGACUAUUGCAAUGAGCAUGGUAUUAACCAUAAUUUUUCGGCUCUUAGAACUCUUCAACAAAAUAGGGUAGUUGAAAGGAAAAAUAGAACUCUUCAAGAGAUGGCUAGAACCAUGCUUAAUGAAAACAAUUUACCAAAAUACUUUUGGGCCGAAGCGGUUAACACUUCUUGUUAUGUUUUAAAUAGAAUUUUAUUAAGGCCUAUUCUUAAGAAAACUCCCUAUGAGCUUUGGAAAAACAAAAAACCCAACAUUAGCUAUUUCAAAGUCUUUAGGUGCAAAUGCUUUAUAUUAAACACCAAAGACAAUCUUGGAAAAUUUGAUGCAAAAUCGGAUGUUGGAAUUUUUCUUGGUUACUCAACUUCAAAUAAAGCCUUUAGAGUUUUUAACAAAAGAACCAUGGUUGUUGAGGGGUCCAUCCAUGUUAUUUUUUUAUGAAUCUAACAAUUCUCUCCAAAAAAAGAGAGAGCUUUGAUGAUGAUUUAGGCUUGGAGACCUCCAUGGGAAAAUUACAAAUUGAAGAUAGAAGGCAACAAGAAGGAAUUGUUGAGGAUCCCAAGAAAGAAGAAUCACCUUUAGCACUACCCCAUCCUCAACAAGUGCAAGGUGAAUCAAGCCAAGACCUUCCUAAAGAUUGGAAGUUUGUCAUUAACCACCCACAAGAUCAAAUUAUAGCUAAUCCAUCUAGUGGGGUAAGAACUAGAUCAUCUCUUAGAAAUAUUUGCAAUAAUCUUGCUUUUAUCUCUCAAAUUGAAUAUAAAAAUAUAAAAGAUGCUCUAGUUGAUGAAAAUUGGAUGAUUGCUAUGCAAGAAGAGUUAAACCAAUUUGAAAGAAGUGAAGUAUGGGAAUUAGUGUCAAGACCUCAAAAUCAAAGUGUUAUUGGAACUAGAUGGGUCUUUAGAAAUAAAAUGGAUGAAAUGGCAUAAUUAUAAGGAAUAAAACAAGAUUGGUAGCCCAAGGUUUUAAUAAAGAAGAAGGGAUAGAUUAUGAAGAAACCUUUGCUCCCGUAGCUAGAUUGGAAGCCAUUAGGAUGCUACUUGCCUUUGCAUGUUUUAAAGACUUUGUUUUAUAUCAAAUGGAUGUGAAAAGUGUUUUCUUAAAUGGCUUUAUAAAUGAAGAGGUAUAUGUUGAACAACCACCCGGCUUUCAAAGUUUUAACUUUCCUAAUCAUGUCUUUAAACUUAAAAAGAUACUUUAUGGUUUGAAACAAGCACCUAGAGCAUGGUAUGAAAGAUUGAGUAAAUUUCUUAUGAAAAAGGAUUUUAAAAUGGAAAAAAUUGAUACAACUCUUUUCAUAAAAACCAAAUAAAAUGACAUGCUCUUAGUGCAAAUAUACGUUGAUGAUAUCAUUUUUGGAGCUACUAAUGUCUCUCUUUGUGAAGAAUUUUCUAAAUGCAUGCAUAGUGAGUUCGAAAUGAGCAUGAUGGGAGAACUUAACUUCUUCCUUAGACUUCAUAUCAAGCAACUAAAGGAAGGAACCUUCAUCAAUCAAGCAAAGUAUAUAAGAGAUCUCCUCAAAAGGUUCAAUAUGGAGGAAGCCAAAACAAUGAAGACUCCAAUGAGUUCAUCCAUCAAGCUUGACAUGGAUGAGAAAGGUAAGUCCCUCAACUCAACUAUGUAUAGAGGCAUGAUAGGUUCUUUGCUAUAUUUGACUGCUAGUAGACCCGACAUCAUGUAUAGUGUAUGCUUAUGUGCUAGAUUUCAAUCUUGUCCUAAAGAAUCCCACUUAAGUGUUGUAAAACGAAUCCUUAGAUACUUGAAACGGACAAUGGACAUAGGUUUGUGGUAUCCUAAGAGUGAUAACUUUGAAUUAAUUGGAUUCUCGGAUACCGACUUUGCCGGUUGUAAAGUUGAAAGGAAAAGCACUAGUGACACUUGUCAUUUCCUAGGACACUCACUUGUUUCAUGGUAUAGUAAGAAAUGAAUUUUGGUAGCUUUAUCAACGGCGGAAGCCGAAUACAUAGCAGCCGGUUUAUGUUGUGCACAAAUUCUUUGGAUGAAACAAACACUUAGUGAUUUCAAUUUGAUUUUUGAGCAUGUUCCUAUUAAAUGUGAUAACACUAGUGCCAUAAACAUUUCAAAAAAUUCAGUGCAACACUCUAGGACUAAGAAUAUAGAGAUAAGACACCAUUUUCUUAGAGACCAUACACAAAAGGGUGACAUUACACUUGAAUUUGUAAGCACAAAAGAUCAACUUACUGAUAUUUUUACAAAACCUCUAAGUGAAAAACAAUUUGUUGAUAUUAGAAGACAACUAGGGGUGAUUUCUUUAUGAUCAAAUGAUUGCUUGAUGAAUUCUUGAUUGAAUAUACCUUAUGAUUACGUGAAUUUCAUAUCAUAUAGAAAUAAUCUUAGGAAAAAGGUCAAAUUUUGACCAAAAAUCAAAAUUCCCUUGGCAUUGGACAUAAAAAAUUGGGGAUUUCAAUUGAAAAGGGUAGGGGGAGGAUCACAAGACAAGAAAAUACCAAAAAAUUGGAGCAUUGACCGUUGACCAUUGACCAAGCGGUUCGUCGAGGUUGGGAAUUUAAAAAGGCCCCCUGCGCUUCAUUUUUCACAUGUUAUCCUCCAUACCUUGAAGACUCUUCACAUCCAUGCUUCUAGAAGUCAAUUUUGGCAAGAUCUUGGACUGUUUGCAGGCUUUGGAGUGGAUUUUGAGACGUUUUGAGGCUAGGGUUUUGAUUUGAAACCCAGAGUUUCAGUUUUUGGGGGUGAUUUCUCUCUAUACCACGAACCUCAGGCUUGGUUCAACUUCUUCUCCGUGCGCCUAGGGCUUUAGGUUGGUGUUUUCUCUCUCUUGUUUGAUUUCCUUCUCCUUUUGGACUUCUCCUUCUCCCUAUUCCAUUCGUUGGAUGGCUCCUAGGCGAGAGACGGGCACCUCUAGGGCUCAAGGCAAGCGCCCUACUGAGCCAUCUCAGCCUGAGCAGACGGAGGCUCACCGAAAGGCGAGGUAUGAUACGACCCUCUUCAGUUCCGUUGAAGAUCUUAAUUAAGCAUAGCCUUUGUUUUCUCAGUAUCUUUGGAGGAGUCUUUUGAUGGCGGAUACCUUGCUAUUUGUGGUACUCAUCAAAUGACCUUGAAUAUUCUCCUCUAUUAUCAGUUCAGAUACAUUUAAGUUUUCUUCUAGUUUAUCUCUCAAUUGAAGCCUGAAAUUACUUGAACACACCCGAUACCUUAUCUUUAUGCUCAAUGUGUAUGCACAAAUCUUCUUUGAAUGAUCAUCAAUAAAAGUCACGAAGUAUAGUGAACCACCAAGGGUUUUUACCUUCAUUGGACCAUAUAAACUAGAAUGGACUAAGUCAAGCAAAUUCUCAUUUCUUGAAGAAGAAGGGCGUGUCUUGAACGCAACUCUAUUUUGCUUUCCUACCAAGCAAUGAGCACACUUUUGUAGACAUGUGUUUGUCAUCCCAAACAAGUGAUUUUUUCGGAAUAGUACCAUCAUUCAUUUCUCACCCAUGUGACCGAGUCUCUAGUACCACAACUCAAUUGUAUCCACAUUUUCAAUAGCAUGAAUGACAUCUUUAGAAAGUCCAACUUGCAUUAUGUACAAAUUAUGAUUCCUUUUACAUCUUGUUAUGACCAAAGAACCCUUAGUAAGCUUCCAUUGACCAUUACCAAGACCACUAUAGUAGCCACCAUCAUCAAGCUUGCUAGUAGAGGUAAGGUUCAACCAAAUGUCUGGAACAUGCUUUACACCUUUGAAAAGCAGUUUCAUACCAUUACGGGUUUCUAAUAAAAAAUUACCUAUGUCAAUAACCUUAGCCACACCAUUGUUGCCCAUCCUUACAACUCCAAAGUCAGAUGUGUAAAAAUCCCUACAAAAUGUAACAUGAAUAGUAGCACCACUAUCAAUUACCCAACUAGUCUCAUCAAAUGCUGAAUUGAUCAUAUCAUCAUCAUACAUUAGUAAAAAGUCUUCUAUAGUGGUGGCAACUCAAUCUUCAUCACUGCUCUUAUUGCCUUUUUCUUUCCUGUUGUUCUUCUUAUUUUCUUUCUUCAACUUUCUACAAUGUUUCUUGAUAUUCCCCUUCUUACCACAAUGGUAACACUCAACAUUAGCAAAUUUGCCUUUGGACUUAUUUCUACUACUUUCCCUGUUUUUCGGAAUCCUACUCUUGUUUCCCCCUCAUGGCUCAGUAACUAUCAUAUCUGACUAUGAGGAGGAACGAUGUGACUUUUUUCUCAUCUUUUCAUUUAGAACAUUGCUCUUAGCAAUUUCCAUUGUAAUCUCACCAUCUAGAGUUGAAUUAGACAAUGACAUUUUAAAUGUCUCCCAAUAAUCUGACAAAGUGCCCAAAAGCCAUAAACCCUAUACCUCUUCAUCAAAUUUUACCCCCAUUACAUCCAACUAAUUUAUCAAACCUUGGAAUGAAUUCAAGUUAUUGGUCAUAGGAGUAUCCUCACGAUAUCUCAAAAGAAUAAAAUAUUUCAUCAAAUACAUUUUGUUGUUUCUGGUCUUUUGAGCAUACAACUUUUCAAGUUUGAUCCACAAUGUACAUGCAUUCUUCUCACCACUAACAUGGUUUAACACACUGUCAUCUACCCAUUGUCGAAUAUACCAACACACCUGCCUAUAAAGUAAUGUACAUUCCUCAUCAGUUUUGCCAGUGGGUUUUCCUUGGACAAACAUAGGGUGAUGGUAACCCUUCUCAUAUAAUAAAUCCUCCAUUUUAUCCUUUCACAAGGCAUAAUUUGAGCCAUUUAAGCUUACCAUUCUGUUUGCACUAACAUCCAUUCUUCAACACAACACAGGCAGCCAAAGCUCUAAUACCACUUUGUUGGGAGAAAGUUGAACACAGUAUCACAAUUAAAAUCAACCAUGCAUGCACUGGAAUUUUAAUGUGGAAAACAUCUUCAAUGUGAGAAGUAAAAACCACAGGACCAGAGUCCACUCAGAAAGGGUUCACUAUCAACCUAAGUGAGAGUACACAAUUUGUCCCAACAUUAAUUGGGGACUAUCAAUAGCAACAACCAUCAAGAAAAAUCUUAGCUUCACAAGCAUAAACACCAAAUAUUAAAAGAAUAAUAGAAAAAGAUCACAAAUUUGGUGUUCUGUCCGAAUAUACUAAUCUGUCCUGAAAACUCCAAUCAACGAUCCAAUCGUUAAAAUUUAAUUACCAUAAGUUUUGAACCUCCUAUUAAAAUUUCACUUCAAUCAGACCAAAGAUCAAAGAAAUACCACUCUUUGAUGAAGACUGCAUAGAACCGAGAUUUUCUCCUCUCAUUUUCUGUCCUGUUUUAUUUGAAUGAUUAUAUAUUAUAGUCAACUACUCUGAUCGACGAGCGAACCGACCAGAAUUAAGAGACAUAAGAGACGAAGAUACUAUACAAAUUUCAACACGAUCCAACGGUGUAAAAUAGAGAUCAAGAAGAUUGAUUAAAAUUGCUCUAAAAUGAUUCUAUUUAUGACCAACUCUGUUUAGGCGGCUAUAGAGUGAAAUAGAAAAGUUCAACUAGAAUAAGGAGUUGCUUGUGAUAAACCAACUGACCAAGUUUCAGUUUAAACAAGCCUUAGACCAUCAAGAUCUAUUACUUGGAUGAAAAUAGCUCUUUCACCUCUUCAAUUUCUUAUUAUUUUUUUUUCUCUCUCAAAAUCAUCAGUUGCACUCUUCUCACUGUAUAUUUCAAGAAGUGAAUCUUUUUUGGGGUUUUCAAAAAAACCUUACACCGAAAGACAAAAAUGCCCAUAUAAUAUGGGAUUUGUUGGGUUUGACAUAUAUGGGUCAUCCUCCACAUGAGAGGGAAACCCAACCCAACAAUAGUUUAGUACCUCCUAAUUGGAAGGAUGACUUGUUUUUGUCAUCACGAUGAGUUUUCCAUGGUGAGUGCACUAAUGUAUAUGGUUACACAUUGGACAGGACCUAUGAUGAGUCAUGAUAUUGGCUAUCAAGUAGUCAUCAUCUUAUAAAGCUACUAUAUUGUAUGAGCUCUCAACCUUGAGAAGAUAUUAAGCUAGUAGUAAAAUUUUUAAUGACUUUAACAUAUAGGUAAGAUCCUAAAGUGGUAAUAUAUUCCCUAUGGAUUGAGAUAUUAUUGAUAGAGGUUGGUGAUAACAUGUAUACUCAAGAUAGACACCAUGAUAUCUCCUAGGUUUUAGAUAAUAUAUCCAUUUGAGUGAUCCUAAGGACAUGUGAUUAGGAAAUCCGUGGUCAUAGUAAUUCUUUAAUUGGAAUUUGACAUAUGCUUCUUAUGAAAUAAAGUAUGUCGAUUUAUCACAUAAGAAGAGGAUUAGAGACUCAAGGACUCUAAAGGAAAUUUUAUAAGGUAGAUAACAUUCACUUUAUUAGACUACGAUCAAUAGCUUAUGAGAAGUUUGCAUAUAGUAGACAAUGGAUCAUAGACUAGAGGUUUGUAUCUCAUAGUUAUAAUAUCAUACGAUAAUGGAGUAUAGUUAACUCUAUGUAGUAGGAUAUUAAGUCAAUUUUAGAAUUGAAAUAUGAGGUAGCCAGUAUUUUCUUAUGAGUCUUAGUGGUCCUCACUUAAAAUCAUAUUCCAUGGUGGCAUGAUUUUUUUAAGAGAUUAUGAGUUUUAUAUUCAUAUGUAUGCAUACAGACAUUUUGGUAGACACGAAACGUUGCACAAGAGUUUAUGAAUGUUUUUGGGUUGAGUUAAUUAAUUAAUUAGAACCCAAUUAAGUUAGUUAAUUAGGACUCAUUGGGCUAAAUUAAGUGACCCAACUCAAUUCACUUAAACUUAGAAGUAAUUCUAUAUAAACCUCCUUAAGUUUUAGGGCUUAUAUUUUGAUUCAUUCUAUCUUUCAGAAUGAGAGAAUCCCAUUCUUCAUUCCCAAGUGAGAAUUCCAUCAUUUUUAAGUGACAAGGUCUAGGAAAGAGCUAUUGGGUGGAAGAUCAUGAGGUUUUCGAGAUCCAUACCAUCAUUUUCUUUGAUUGGAACUAAUCUAGGCACAUCUAUUAGUUUAUUGGCCAUUGAAUCAACAAAGGACUAUAAUGCAAAAUUGUUUCAUGCAGUACCUUAAAAUAAUUAUGAAGGGCUGUAAAAAAAUUGAACCAAUGGUUGUUACUUUCUACAAACAAUAUAAGGCGUAAAAACCUAAAGCUUAGUUGAUUUUGUGAGAGCCAACUAGUCCAAAAGAUCAGUUAUAGCGGAAUAGAACUCUUGAAUACUCAUGUUCUUAUGUUCAAGAGCUCAAAUAUCAAUCUUUAAAUAAUAUUGAUUUGCAAAUGUUGCUAGAUCUUGUUGACAAAUUCAUACUUUGCCAACUACGUACUUAUCAAAUUCUCAAUAAAUUUGUUGAUCCAAUUGAUAAUUUUUGAAUUGUUUACUGCUCAAAUGUUUAACUGUUCUAUAUAUUUUUCAUCAUCUCCAUUUCUAGGUUUGUGUAGAGUUAACCCCACAUCUUUUUUACCUUUGAAAAAUUUCCCAUUGCAUAACUCCAAUGUUAGGAUAGAGCCCUUAAAAGCAUAGUAUGAUAUAACAAAUUCAAAUUUAUUAUUCAUUUAAUAAAAUUUUAGUUUCCUAUUUCUAUCUAUCUUAUUACAUGCAUUAUAACUUAUAACCAUUUUAGCCUAACAUUUUUUGCAUUGUACAUACUUUGGGUGCAUUAGGAGUUACACAGAAGAUCCAAGUCAUGAGUUGCUUGCAAGUAGAUGAUUUGUUCACAACUAGUUCAUAGAAUUAGGUAAUUCAUUGAAAGUUGUAGUACACUACCUACUAAUGGAAUGGAUGACUAGUCUUGGUCAUUUGGGAUGAGUUUCCCAUGUUAAGUCCAUUAGUUUGUACAAUUCAACAUUAAAUAAGGCCCAUAGUGAGUUAUGAUGUAAAGUUAUUGAGUAGUCAUGACCUCACCAAGCUGCUAUACUAUAUGGUCUUUUAACCUCGAGAGAAUAUUUAGUUUGUGCCAAAGUUUAUAAUAGCUUUGACCUAUAAGUGAGAUCCUAAGAUGGUCAUAUAUUCCCUAUAAAUUAGGUCAUUAUUGAUGGAGGCUAGUGACGGCCGGUAUUCUCAAUAGAGAUACCAUGAUAUCUUAUGGAGAUUGAGACAAUAUGUCCCAUUAGGUGAGCCUAAGGAAGUCUUGAUAAGGAAAUUAAUGGUCAUAAUAGUUUUUUAAAUUAGAACUUGACAUAUGCUCUUUAUGAGAUAAGAUAUGUCACUUCAUCUCAAAAUAAGAGAAUCUGAGACUCAAGAAUCAUAAAGGUAAUCUUGAAAGGUUGAUAACAUUCAUCUUGUUAGAUUAUGGACACUAUUUCAUGGGGAACUUGCAUACAAUGGAUAGUAGGUGUUAAUGGAAACCCUAGAUUUCUUCGUUCGUAAACCCUAGAUCGUAUAGGUAUAUGCAAAUCUACCUAGGCUUCUCUAGAAACUAACAUAAGUGGAAACAUGGCUUUUAAAAACCAUUUAGAUUAAUAAAACUAGAGAAGAAUGAAUUAUACCUAGAUUUAGAUGUUCCUAGAUCAAUUCAUUGCGAUGAAGAUGUUUCAAUGUUCUAGAGGUCUUGUACACCCAAAGUCUUCUGUCUAAUUACUCAAUCCAUGACCUUGGCACUCUAAAGAGUGGACUUUGAAAAAGAGAUGCCUUGGCUCUCUCUCUUUCUCUCUAUUUCUCUCUGGAAGUGGAAGACGACAAGCAAAAGCCUUAGAAACCCUAACCCCUAAGGGGAUAUGUAUAGGGUUCCCCUACUAGGCUUAAGUGACUUGAGCCUACCAAGGAUUAGGUCACUUAAUCUAGCCCAAAAUAGAUCUUGAUUUAUUAAUCAACCACACAGGGUCAUCUAAUUAAUCAAUUAGCUCAAUGAAGAGAACUUGUUCUCUAUUCCCCUAUGCAACCUUGCGUGAUUGCUAAAACACCUUUAUACACAUCUAAUCCUUAGAAAUCGUGUCAUCAUGGUAUAUGAGCUCAAAGUGAGGACUACUGGGACAAAUAGGCAUACUAACUCUCUCAAAAUCGAAUUCCAAAGUUGAUUCACUAUCCCACUAUAGAAAAUCAAUUGCACUCCAGUACCUUAUGUAGAUAACAAUAAGAUGAAGUUUGGGUCUGUGACCUACUAUCUACUACAUGCAAUCUCUUCAUGAAUUGGUGUCCAUAAUCUAACAAGGUGGUGUUAUCACAUAAUGUAUGAUAAGAAAUAUGAAUUUGUUACAUUAGAUAAUAACAUAAUGUAUCCUGGUAGGAAAUAUGAAUUUUAAAAAUGCAUCCUCUAUAUUAAGGUAAAGUUAAUUUUUUUAAACAUAAAAUAAUAUAUUUAUAACAAAGUUAGUAAUAUGGAUGAGAUAUAAAUUAGUAUUGGUAUCAAGUAUUUCAAUAUGUAAACCUAAAACAUAUUACAUUUAUAAUAUUAUUGAAAUUUUACCCAUAAUAUAUCUUUAUUAAAAAAGUCAAUCUAAAAUUUUUCAAAUUUUUAUUACUCAACUAUAUCCAUAUAAUUUUCUAUUAGAAUCAUCUAAAAUUUCUUUAAUAUCUUUAUAUUCAUUUACUUGAAAAAUGAAAAAUAACCAAUAAAAUUGUUCAUUUUAUUAAGAUAUUUUUAUUAAAUUUUGUUAAAAAAAAAAUAAAUCAUUCAAAAUUUUAAAUAAGAUUUCAUGUGAAAUAUUUUAUUUGAAAGUUUAUUUGGUUUCAUUAACAAAUUUAUUUGAUAUUUUUUUUAUUGUAAAUAUAUUAAAUUAUUAAAAUUAUAGUAUUUGUCCUAUAAAAUUAGGGUUGCAAUUUGGACGAGCUAACCCAAACCAACAUAAAACCAACCCAAUGUUUGGGCGGGCUUGGGCACCAUUUUUUGUAACUUGGGUUGGGCUUGGAUUCAUUUUUAUCAACCCAAAUUAAAUUCGGGUUGGGCUUGGUCAGAUGACUUGGGCAACCCAAACUAACCCGAACCUGACUAUAUAUAUAACUUUAAGAAAAUAAUACAUUGGUUCUUUCCAUUCUAUUCUUUGAUAGAGAAAAAACCUUCAAGCCCUAGUCCAAGGUUCUUCCAUUAUUCGAUAUUGUUCAAAUCCUCAAGCCCUAGUUCAAGAUUCUUUCAUUUUUUGAUGUUGUUGUCUCCAUUCAAGGUCAUCUGACAGAAAGCAAAAACCAUCAGGCCUUAGGUUAAGAUUCUUCAUCAUCAUAUAAUGUUACAAUCGUCGUUCAAUACCACUGUUGUUCACAUUAUAUUACUAGGUUUUUGAUUGCCAACAAUUUAGUUAAUAAAUCAUGGAAAUAAUGGAAAAGGUUGAUUUGAAAAUAAUUCUAAGAUAUCCCUUUUUGGUUUUAAAUUUAUCUUCCUUGAGUGAUGAAUAAAGAGGACAAGGCAAGUUAUUUAAGGCAAUGGUGAAGCCCUUAUCCUUUAUAUGGAAGAAGUGUAGAAUUGUUACCUAUACAUAAAUUAUAUUAUAAUGGUCUACUGUAAUAUGCUUGGCUUAGCAUCCCUCAUCAGGGGCAUGCCAUGGGAGAAAAGUCUUCCUUUUGUAAAAGAAGGGUUGUGCAAUAAAUGAAUGUUGUGUGUUUGCUUUUUGAACUAAUUUUUAUUGGCCUAACUCAACCCAACUUAGCCAUCACAUAAUCAACUCGAGCUCAACCUAUGUUAAAUAAUUUCAAUUCGAGUUGAGUGCAUAAGAUUGGAAGUCGAGUUAGGUGAUCCUUUGGGUUGAUGUAUUUCAAGGUAAGAUUGAGCUUGGGUUGGCCAACUUGCCGAGUUGCAACCCCAUAUAAAAUUAAUUUUUCUUUAACAUUUAUAUUUUAUGAAAUAUUAAAAAUUAUAUAUUUUAUUAAUUGUUUUCCAAAAAUCGCAAUUUUGGUGAUUUAGGUCUUGUUUGGUAAUUGUUUUUGAAAACAUUUUUGAAAAAAUAGUUUUUAAGAACAGUUUUUGAAAACUGUUCUCUGAUGUUUUUUAGAACAAAAGUCUAUUUGGGAACCUAAAAUUAUUUUUAAUAUUUUUAAAUACGUUUUAAAAAUAAUUUUUAUAUCCAUAACUUUAUUUUUAUUAAUCAUUAUAUAUAUAUUUGUAUAAUUAUUCUUUAAAAUAACUCUCAAAAAAUAAGUGAAAACAACUUAAAACAAUUAAAAUAUAUUAUUUGAAAACACCCUGUUUUCUAUUUUUUAAUAAUAUAAAACAGAAAACAGUUUUUAAUUGUUAAACGUGUUUUUAAGUUUUUUUUUUCUAAAAAACAAAAAACUGUUUUUGAAAACAGUUUCCAAACAUAGCAUUAAUGCAAAGCCAGCCAAUUUUUUGUGCUGCCAACCAUACUGGAAACCCAUCUUGUUGGCCACCCAGAGGAGCUCAGUUUUUUUUAUUUUUAUUUGUUAGAGGAGUGGGGGACGAUUUCUAUGAACGAGCUACAUGGGACAUGUGGAAAAAAAAAAAAAAAGAUGGCCACCUUGCCAUGGUGGUGGUUGAAGAUGGAGACUUGCUAAGCGGUGAACAGUGGAACGAGUAGAAGCUUAUAAGAGAAAAAAAAAAACAGAGCAAAGGGACUGGGAGGGUUGAGUUGUGGGUGAGCUGAUUCAAGAGGAAGGAAAAAAAAUGAAGCUGAAACAAAGGGAGGUUUUUAAGAGAAAGUGAAAACAACGAGUUAAUUUGGAAACAACUAGGAUGAGAGUUGUAGGUCGGCUGAUUAGAGGAGGUUUUCAGCAAGAGCUAAAGAAGAGGACCUUUAAACUCUACCGGAAAAGUUCUCUCGUCUCACCGGUGACUACGGAUCUGGAAAACUAAAAUGCGCAGGUGGUGGCGUUGCUCCCCCUACUAUACUUACGGAUUUUAAGCUCAAUGGCUACGGAAACCUCGAUUUCUACAACGUGUGCUUGGUUGACGGGUAAAACCUUCCUUUGAUGGUGGUGCCACAGGAUGGCACCGGGGGGAACUGUACCAAAAUCGGGUGCUGCUCUAGACUUGGGAAAUGAACAGGUUUGUUCGUUUGUCUCGUUACAACUUCUUUCUGAAUCUUUCUUUGAUUAAGACAAGUAUGUUUUUCCAAGUUUUGGUUUUUGCUCUCAAAAAGGGUCUUUUUGAUGAUUCUACUGUUUUUUUUAGGAGUUGAAAUGGGUUUUUGAUGAAUUCAAGUGGGCGUCUUUUGUUUGUUAAUGGAACGGUUUUGUUUUUGGUGGUCAAAACAUUUUUUUUUUAUAAUGAUUUUGUAGUCAUUUUAAGGAGCUGUGAAAUGGGUGUUUGAUGAAUUCAACUGGGUUUCUUUUACUUGAUGAAAUGCCACCAUCCGUGGGGUUUGGUUAUGUAAACAUGAAUUUUUUUUUUUUUUUUAUGAUUUUGAAAGUGAUUUUAAGGAGCUGUGAAACGGGUAUUUGAUGUGUUGAACUGGGUCUAUCCUAUUUGCUAAUGGAAUAGGUUUUAGUUUCUGAACUUGGAACAUGAAUUUUUUUAUUUUUUAUAUGAUUCCGUGUAUAUUUUGAUGAGCUUGACAUUUUGUAUGAUGAAUUGAACUCAGUUUUGACUAAAUGGGAUAGGUCUUGGAUUAUGGUUCAUGGUUUAUUUUGAUGAUUUAUUGAACCGGAUUUCCUCUGUUUUGGGACCCACUCCACUCCUGCAUGGCCAUUUUUGACAUGCAAUUCCAUCGAACACGUGUCAUCCUCUUUGAUUUUUCAUCCUCAUAUGUUAAAAUAUGAUUUUCAAAACUCCAAUUUUCACGUUUAAUUUUUAAAACUUUAAUUUUUAAAAUUCCAUUUUUUUUUAAUUUAAUCUUCAAAACUCUAAUUUUCAAAUAAUCUUCAAAGUUCCAAUCAUCGAAAUUUAAUUUUUAGAACUUCAAUUUUCAAAUAAUUCUCCAAAAUUCCAAUUUUCAAAAUUUCCAUUUUCAAAAAUAAUUUUCCAAAAUUCUAAUUUUCAAAAAUUCUAAUUUUUCAAAAUUUCAAUUUUCAAAAAUUCUAAUUUUUCAAAAUUUCAAUUUUCAAAACUUACAUUUUCAAAAAUAAUUUUCCAAAAUUCCAAUUUUCAAAACUUCCAUUUUCAAAUAAUUUUCCAAAAUUCAAGUUUUCAAAUUUAAUUAUUAAGAAAUCCCAUUCUCAAAUAAUUCUCCAAAAUUCCAAUUUUCAAAAUUUCCAUUUUCAAAUAAUUUUCUAAAAUUCCAUUCUAAAACAAUUCUCCAAAUUUCCAAUUUUCAAAACUUGAAUCAUUUUCUAAAAUUCCCAUUUUCAAAUUUAAUUCCCAUAAUUUCCAUUCUCAAAUAAUUUUUCAAAAUUCCAAUUCUCAAAUUUAAUUUUUGAAACUCCCAUUUUUCGAAUAAUUUUUCAAAUUUUCAUUUUUUUUAAAUUUAAUUUUUAAAAUUUCAAUUUUCAAAACCCUAGUUUUCUUUCAAAUAGUUUUAAUCCCACUUCAGUUUUCAAAUAUUUUUAAUUUUACAACUUUUCAUCAUUCAUUAGGGUUUUAAGUCACUAAAAAUCAUAUUUUUAAAUAAACUUGCUACUUUUCCUUUCAGGUAAGCACUUUCACAAAUUUUCUUUGUUUUUAAAAUAAUAUUUUGUUUCUCUUAAUUUUAAAUAAACAUGAAGGCAAUUUUCAUAAUUUCAAAAUAAUGGAAUUUAUGGAAUUAAUUCAUGCAAAAUAAUUGGGCUUUGGUGGGAGCCUAACAUUCAUGACAUUUCUUUCAAAAAUAAUUCAAGUGAAUUGCAUUAUCGAUAUUGUUUGAUUUUGAUUGGUUUUGUGUGAGAUAUUUUACACUUAAUAUUGUGCACUAAUUCUGUUUCAUGAUAGCGCUUUAUUACCUCUAGUCAAGGUACGCUCUCACUCUCAUUUUGUUUAUUUAUUCGUUAUCAUAACUUGCUUUUGAUCUAUUAUCUUUUUGGUAUUCAUUGAUUUUUCUAGUUAAUUGUCAUGUUUGCUUCACCUUAUUUAGUAGAGACCCAUUUUUCAGGGGCUUAGAGGGGUGCUACGGUCUUUACCGUACUUUUCCAAUAAGUAACCUAACCCUCGAAUCCGACUUUGGUCUUCCACAAACUAUCUUUUCCAAAUAAGGAGUCACACUUAGAGUUUUCUUUCUUAUUUUGUUUUCCCUUAAAAAUAAAAUAAAAAUAAGUGGUGACUCCAAGUAUUUUCUAAAAAUCAUUUUUUUUUUCAAAUAAAAAAAGCGAGUUUUGCCAUCAAGUGGAAACACAUCUUGCGAAAAUGUGGGGUCCACAUAUCCCCUUCCAUUCCUUCAUACCCAAUGAAAUCUAAAUAAAUCGCCAGCCUAUUUUUUCAUUCUUGCUUCCAACCUCUUUUUUAAUAUUUAAAAUUGAUAAUAUAAAAUCUCUGCACAUGAUAUUGCCCACUUUGUCAUGGAAUUGAGAACAAUGAUAAAUCACAAUUUUCACACAAAUGAAAGUCUGUAUACUUUUUUUUUUUUUUUUUUGUAAGGAAUAAUAUUGUGUAAGGAACCAUUAAUGUAAACAUAUUGAAGGAAAAACAUAAAAAAUAAAACAAAUAUCACAAAAGAUAUAUAGGUUUAUCUCCACUUUGAACCAUGAAUUCUUUUGAUCUACUAGAUGUUUUUCACUUUAGGUGUUUCUUACUCCUCUCAUAAUUUUUUCCUUUCAUAAUUUAGAAUAUUUAUAGAAAUAUUUCCACUGACUUUCCUUAUUCUAUAACGAAUUUAAUUACAAUCACCUAAAAUUAGAAAAUAUUCAUAACUUUAUGAUAUUCUAAAUAGGAAUUUAAGACACCUUCCUAACACAUAAUCAUUUAAAUUUAUUUUUUUCACACAUUAUACAUUUUAAUUUUUCAAUAACAAUUUCCACACAAAUAAUUAUUUUUAGAUUUUUCUUUUUAAAUUUUAACAACAUUAAUAAUUUAAUAUUUCAUCCAAAUAAAAAAUAGUGAAAUUAAGAAAAAUUAAAAGAAAGAUAAAUAAAUAAACUAGUCACAUAAUAUAUAAUAGUUUUUCAUAAAAAUUGUGAAUUAAUAAUCCAACCAGAGCUCUGGGCCCACAUGUUAUAUAUACUGAGAAUCCACAUGUUAUAAUGAGAAAAAAAAAUGGAUUUAAAAUUUAAAAUUAUUUGAACAUGUUUCUUCUAACUCGUUGUAUAUAUUUUCCUUAUUUAUAUAAAGAUUAAUUAUUUUAAUUAAUUUUGAUAAUAUUUGAUUUUGUUUUUCAAUGAUAAACGAAAUAUGAUCAAAUGAAUAAACCACUGAAGUAUACUAUGCAUUUUAUAUAAAGUUUUUUUAUAUUAGUACCCAUGUGAACUGAUCAUAAGAAACUGGGUACCAUCAAAACUGUACAUCUGGAUACUGAGGAUCAGCAGAACAGAUGUAAUAAAUGUUCAUAUUUUCUAUAAUGUCACAUGGGACUUAGGAUGGUUCUUGGUAGAUAAGUUAAUUGACUUGGAAUCUUAACCUAAUCUAUAAUUUAAAAAAUGGAUAAAUUAAUUAAUUUAAGAAUAGUAACGGUCCAUAUUUUGUCAGGCCACAUGGGAGUUAGAAUAGUUUAAAGUGAACAUGUGACCUGAUGUAUAAUAUAAAGUGGAAAACUUGUCCAUCGAAUCCAUAAAUUAUAUUAUAAUGGUCUACUGUAAUAUGCUUGACUUGGCAUCCCUUAUAGGGCUAUGCCAUGGGAGAAAAGUCUUCCCUUUGUAAAAGAAGGGUUGUGCAACAAAUGAAUGUUGUGUCUUUGCUUUUUGAACUGAUUUUUAUUGGCCCAACCCGACCUAACUCAGCCAUCAUAUAAUCAAUUUGAGCUCAACCUAAGUUAAAUAAUUUCAAUUCGAGUUGAGUACAUCAGAUUGGAAGUCAGGUUGGGUCAUCCUUUAGGUUGAUGUAUUUCAAGGUCGCACUGAGCUUGGGUUGGCCAACUUGCCGAGUUGCAACCCUAUAUAAAUUGUUUUACAAAAAUCGCAAUUUUGACGAUUUAUACUUUAUUUGAUAACUGUUUUUAAAAACAUUUUUAAAAAAAUAGUUUUUAAGAACAGUUUUAAAAAAUUGUUCUAUGAUAUUUUUUAAAACAAAAGUUUAUUUGGAAACUUAAAAUUGUUUUUAAUCUAUUUUUAAUAUUUUUCAAUGUGUUUUAAAAAUUUUUUUUAUAUCCAUAGCUUUAUUUUUAAUCAUUAGAUAUAUAUAUAUGUAUAUAUAUAUAUAUAUAUAUAUAUAUAUAAUUUUUAAAAAUAACUCUAAAAAAAAAAUUGAAAAUAAUUAAAAGAUAUUAUCUAAAAACACCAUAUUUUUUAUUUUUUAUUAUCUAUUUUCUAAUAAUAGAAAAUAGAAAAUGGUUUUUUAUUAUUAAAUGAAUUUUAAAAUUCUUUUAUUCUAAAAACCAAAAAUUGUUCUUGAAAACAAUUGCAGGGCAUUAAUGCAAAGUCCAAGGCAUUAAUGCAAAGUCGCCCAACCAUCCCCUUCCAUUCCUUCAUACCUAAUGAAAUCCAAAUAAAUCACCCUUUUUUCAUUCAUGCUUCCAACGUCUUUUCUAAUAUUUAAAAUUGAUAAAUAUAAAAUCUCUCCAUAUGAUAUUGCCCACUUUGUCAUAGAAUUGAGAAUAAUGAUAAAUCACAAUUUUCACACAAAUGAAAGUUGUAUACUUUUUUUUUAUAAGGAAUAAUAUUGUGUAAGGAAGUAUUAAUAUAAACAUAUUAAAGGAAAAACACGAAAAAUAAAACAAAUCAUAUAAAAGAUAUAUAAGGUUUAUCUUCACUUUGAAUCAUGAAUCCUUUCGAUCUAUUAGAUGUUUUCACUUUGGGUGUUUUUUUCUCCUCUCAUAAUUUUUUUUCUUUAUAAUUUAGAAUAUUUAUAAAGAUAUUUAUACUAAUUUUCCUUAUUUUAUAAGAAAUUUAAUUACAAUCACAUCUAAAGUUAGAAAAUAUUCAUAACUUUAUGAUAUUCUAAAUAGGAAUUUAAGACACCUUCCUAACAAAUAAUUAUUUAAAUUUAUUUUUUUCACACAUUAUACAUUUCAAAUUUUCAAUAAAAAUUUCCACAUAAAUAAUUAUUUUUAGAUUUCUCUUUUUAAAUUUUAACAACAUUAAUAAUUGAAUAUUUCAUCCAAAUAAAAAAUAGUGAAAUUAAGAAAAAUUAAAAUAAAGAUAAAUAAAUAAAUUAGUCUCAUAAAUAUAUAAUAAUUUUUCAUAAAAAAUUAUGAAUUAAUAAUCCAACCAAAGCUCUGGGCCCAUAUGUUAUAUAUAUUGAGAAUCCAUAUGUUAUAAUGAGAAAUAAAAAAUAAAAAAAUGGAUUUAAAAUUUAAAAUUAUUUCAACAUGUUUCUUCAAACUCAUUGUAUAUAUUUUCCUUAUUUAUAUAAAGAUUAAAUAAUUCAAAAAUAUACAAGUAUUUUAAUUAGUUUUGAUAAUAUUUGAUUUUGUUUUACAAUAAUAAACGAAAUAUGCUCAAAUGAAUGAACCAUUGAAGCAUACUAUGCAUUUUAUAUAAAGUUUUUUUAUAUUAGUACCCAUGUGAACUGAUUAUAAGAAACUGGGGACUAUCAAAACUGUACAUCUGGAUACUGAGGAUCAGCAGAACAGAUAUAAUAAAAAAUGUUCAUAUUUUCUAUAGUGUCACAUGGGACUUAGAAUGGUUCUUGGUACAUACGUUAAUUGAUUUGGAAUCUUAAUUAACCUAAUCUAUAAUUAAAAAAUGGAUAAAUUAAUUAAUUUAAGAAUAGUAACGGUCCAUUUUUUGUCGGGCCACAUGUAGCCCUUACCUGAUAUAUAAUAUAAAGUGGACAAGUUGGAGCAUGCUUCCCAGAGUGAUUUAAAAAUUGUUGAAAAUUAAUGUAGAUGGCACCACAUUUUAUAUUAUUGAAUACAUCCACAACCUUUAAUUACAACUGGCAUGGCCUGGCAUGACUUGUCCACGGAAUCCAUAUUAUUAAUCAAUACCCAUGUGACCUGGCCUAUCCCAUCCACCAUAAAGAUAUCUCUUACUUUGUUCUCUAUUCUCUCACAAUUCCCUCAGCUUCUCAUCCUGUACGUGCUGUAUUUUCUUGGCUUUCUGCUACUUUGAGUUGUUCCGAAAUGGCUGAUCAAAUUCCAUUCGGUGUUGUGGAGCACAUUUUGACCAAGUUGGGGUCCAAGGCGUUUCAAGAAAUUGGAUCCAUGUAUGGUGUUCCAAAGGAGAUGACCAAGCUCAAUGGGAAACUGGGCACCAUCAAGGCUGUGCUUUUGGAUGCUGAGGAGAAGCAGCAACAGCAGAGCAAUCGUGCAGUCAAAGAUUGGGUCCGGAGGUUCAGAGGUGUUGUUUAUGACGCAGAUGACUUGGUGGAUGACUAUGCAACCCAUUAUCUUCAGCGAGGAGGAUUGGGAAGGCAGGUCAGUGACUUCUUCUCAUCUGAAAAUCAAGUUGCUUUUCGUUUAAACAUGAGUCAUAGACUCGAAGAUAUCAAAGAAAGGAUAGAUGAUAUUGCAAAAGAAAUCCCCAUGUUAAAUCUGACUCCACGGGACAUAGUACUACACACACGGGUGGAGAAUAGUGGGAGAGACACCCAUUCAUUCGUGUUAAAAUCUGAAAUGGUAGGAAGAGAAGAAAACAAAGAGGAGAUAAUAGGGAAGUUAUUGUCGUCCAAGGGUGAAGAAAAGCUUUCGGUUGUUGCCAUUGUAGGCAUUGGGGGGUUGGGUAAGACCACCCUUGCUCAAUUGGUAUACAAUGAUGAAAGAGUGGUCAAUCAUUUUGAGUUUAAGAUAUGGGCUUGCAUUUCUGAUGAUUCUGGUGAUGGUUUUGAUGUUAAUAUGUGGAUCAAAAAAAUUUUAAAAUCUCUGAAUGAUGGGGGUGCUGAAAGUCUGGAGACUAUGAAAACUAAGCUUCAUGAAAAAAUAAGUCAAAAGAGGUACUUGCUAGUCCUCGAUGAUGUUUGGAAUCAAAAUCCUCAACAAUGGGAUCACGUGAGAACUUUAUUAAUGGUUGGUGCUAUAGGUAGUAAAAUUGUAGUAACCACCAGAAAACCUAGAGUUGCAUCACUCAUGGGAGAUUAUUUUCCAAUUAAUUUGAAAGGUCUUGAUGAAAACGAUUCUUGGAGGUUGUUUUCAAAAAUCACAUUUAAAGAUGGAGAGAAGGAUGUGCAUACAAACAUCACCCAAAUUGGAAAAGAAAUUGCAAAAAUGUGUAAGGGAGUUCCUCUCAUUAUUAAGUCUUUAGCAAUGAUAUUGCGGUCUAAAAGAGAACCGGGGCAGUGGUUGUCUAUUAGAAACAAUAAAAAUUUGCUGUCACUCGGAGAUGAAAAUGAGAAUGUUGUAGGGGUGCUGAAAUUAAGUUAUGAUAAUUUGCCAACUCAUUUGAGACAAUGUUUUACAUAUUGUGCUUUAUUUCCAAAAGACUAUGAGAUUGAGAAAAAGUUGGUGGUACAACUAUGGAUAGCACAAGGUUAUAUUCAAUCUUCAAAUGAUAAUAAUGAGCAAUUAGAGGAUAUAGGGGAUCAAUAUUUUGAGGAAUUAUUGUCAAGGUCAUUGUUGGAAGAGGUUGAAGAUGAUUUUGCUAAUACAGUAAUGUAUAAAAUGCAUGACCUUAUACAUGAUCUUGCACAAUCAAUUGUAGGAUCUGAGAUCCUUGUUUUAAGAAGUGAUGUAAAUAAUAUUCCAAAAGAAGCUCAUCAUGUAUCAUUGUUUGAAGAGAUAAAUCUUAUGAUCAAGGCUCUAAAGGGAAAACCCAUAAGAACCUUUCUUUGUAAAUAUUCUUAUGAAGAUAGUACAAUUGUAAAUUCAUUUUUUUCGAGUUUUAUGUGUCUACGUGCGUUGAGUUUAGAUGAUAUGGAUAUAGAGAAGGUGCCAAAGUGUUUAAGUAAAUUGAGUCAUUUAAGGUAUCUUGAUCUUUCCUACAACAAUUUCGAGGUACUUCCAAAUGCUAUUACAAGGUUAAAGAAUUUGCAAACACUAAAACUCACAAGCUGUCGAAGAUUAAAAAGAAUUCCAGACAAUACAGGAGAAUUGAUCAAUCUUAGACACUUGGAGAAUGAUAGCUGUUAUAACUUGGCUCAUAUGCCACAUGGAAUCGGCAAGUUGACUUUACUUCAAAGUCUACCAUUGUUUGUGGUUGGGAAUGACAUAGGGUUAAGGAAUCACAAAAUUGGUAGCUUGAGUGAAUUGAAAGGCCUUAACCAACUAAGAGGAGGGUUAUGCAUAAGUAAUCUUCAAAACGUGAGGGAUGUUGAACUGGUAUCCAGGGGGGGAAUUUUGAAAGAAAAACAAUAUCUUCAGUCCUUGAGAUUGGAAUGGAAUCGGUGGGGCCAAGAUGGGGGGGAUGAGGGUGAUCAGUCAGUGAUGGAAGGCCUUCAACCACACCAACAUCUAAAGGAUAUCUUUAUAGACGGGUAUGGAGGUACGGAGUUUCCAAGUUGGAUGAUGAAUAGCCUGCUUCCUAACCUAAUUAAAAUUGAAAUUUGGGGAUGUUCAAGAUGCAAAAUUCUGCCACCCUUUUCUCAACUCCCUUCUCUCAAGUCUUUGGGGCUUCAUGAUAUGAAAGAAGUGGUGGAGUUAAAGGAGGGUUCAUUAACAACGCCACUCUUCCCAUCUCUUGAAUCGCUCGAACUCUCUUUCAUGCCAAAGUUGAAGGAAUUGUGGAGGAUGGACUUACUAGCAGAGGAAGGUCCUUCCUUUUCUCAUCUUUCUCAAUUAAAGAUCAGUUAUUGCCAUAACUUGGCAUCCUUGGAACUGCAUUCUUCUCCUUCUCUUUCUCAAUUAGAGAUCCAUUAUUGCCCAAACUUGACAUCCUUGGAACUGCCGUCAUCUCUUUGUCUUUCUAAUUUAUAUAUCGGAUAUUGCCCUAACUUGGCAUCCUUGGAACUGCAUUCUUCUCCUUGUCUUUCUCGAUUAGAAAUCAGGGAAUGCCCUAACUUGGCAUCCUUCAAAGUGGCUCCAUUACCUUAUCUUGAGACACUAUCUCUGUUCACAGUUAGAUAUGGUGUGAUAUGGCAGAUAAUGUCUGUCUCUGCUUCAUUGAAGUUUCUGUAUAUUGAAAGCAUAGAUGAUAUGAUAUCUCUCCCGAAGGAGCUACUUCAACAUGUUUCUGGCUUGGUAACGUUACAGAUCCGUGAGUGUCCUAACUUGCAAUCCUUGGAACUGCCCUCAUCUCCUUCUCUUUCUGAAUUAAGGAUCAUAAAUUGCCCUAACUUGGCAUCCUUCAAUGUGGCAUCAUUACCUCGUCUUGAGAAACUAAGCCUGCGUGGAGUCAGAGCAGAGGUACUGAGGCAGUUAAUAUUUGUCUCUGCUUCUUCUUCAUUGAAGUCUCUGCGUAUACGGGAGAUUGAUGGUAUGAUAUCUCUCCCAGAGGAGCCGCUUCAAUAUGUUUCCACUCUCGAAACUCUCUACAUUGUUAAGUGCUCUGGUUUGGCAACAUUACUACACUGGAUGGGCAGCCUUUCCUCGCUUACGGAACUUAUUAUUUAUGACUGCUCUGAAUUGACAUCACUGCCAGAAGAGAUCUGUUCCCUUAAAAAACUGCAGAAAUUUUAUUUCUGUGAUUAUCCACACCUAGAGAAAAGAUACAACAAGGAAACAGGUAAAGACCGGGCCAAGAUUGAUCAUAUCCCACGUAUUAAUUUCCAAAGUGAUCGAGUUAUGGAAUAUAAGGUCCGAAAUCCCUAACCUUUCUUCCCAUUUUUAUUAUUUAAGAAUCAAAAUGCUAUGUUUUCAUUUUAUUAUUAUGUUUUCACUGUAUCCUUGGCACCUCAUAUGUUUGUUUUUACUGCUCACAUUAAUAAUUUUGAAAUUUUUUUCCAGCUUGGAUGUGCUUUCCGAUGAUGUGCACUAAACUAACCAUUUUACUUGGAGUUGUACAUUCUAAGAGUUUGAGGAAAUACUGAGGUCUGAUAUGAUAACUCUAAAUCUUAAACGUUGUUUUGUGUUUGGAACGUUACUACACUUGAUACAUACCCUCACCUCACUUACAGAGCUUGGAAAUCGUGGCUGCCUUGAAUCGACGUCACUGUCAGAAUAUAUGUUCCCUCAAAAACCUGCAGACACUAAAUAAUCUGCAUCUGUUCACAGAAAGAUGCUGAAAGGAAAGGUGAAGACCAACCCAAGAUUGCUCAUAUGCCACAAAUUGAUAUCAUACAUCCAUGAAGAUUGAACUGAUACACAAUGCCUUUCAGGUCCGAAAUCCCUAACUUUUCUUCUCAUUUUCUAUGACUUCAUUUUCAUUAUCUUACUUUUAAAAUGCUCUGUUUUCAUUUGUUUUGGUAGUUCUUUGUAUUUGUGCCUUGUUUGAUUAAAUGCUUACUUCAAUUAAGUUUGAAAAUUUUUACAUCUUCAAAUUAUUUUAUUGUAAGUGUUUUGCAUUCUAAGAAUUUGAGGAAAUACUGAGCUCUAAUAUAACUAGUAGAGUCCACCAUUCCUAAGAAGCUUACCAUUGCCUAAUGCCCAAAGGAUCCCGAAAGGAGACAACUUUGGAUUGGCUUGAAGAUUUCACAUGGUCCAAAAAUUUGUAUUUACUAGACGCCUGAUACAAAAAGUAGUUUAAAUUUAGCCAUUAAUAAUAUAACUUUUUUAUUAGAGAAAUAAUUGCCAAACAAAUGCAAAAUAGAAAAUGGUGUUAAUGAAUUCAGUACUUCAUCUAUGUUGCAGUUUAGUAGCUUUUGUUAGAUAACGAGUAUGGGGUUGGGUUUAUCUGGUUACCAUUCCAAAUAUUCUUAAAAAAAUCAUCAAGGCUUUGUUUGGUUUCUUGAAAAUUUGAGGGAAAAAAUAGAGAGAAAAAGUGGAAGGAAAAAAAAAAGUGGAAGUCAAUAACUUGGCAUCCUUGGAACUGCAUUCUUCUCCUUGUCUUUCUCGAUUAGAAAUCAGGGAAUGCCCUAACUUGGCAUCCUUCAAAGUGGCUCCAUUACCUUAUCUUGAGACACUAUCUCUGUUCACAGUUAGAUAUGGUGUGAUAUGGCAGAUAAUGUCUGUCUCUGCUUCGUUGAAGUCUCUGUAUAUUGGAAGCAUAGAUGAUAUGAUAUCUCUCCAGAAGGAUCUACUUCAACAUGUUUCUGGCUUGGUAACGUUACAGAUCCGUGAGUGUCCUAACUUGCAAUCCUUGGAACUGCCCUCAUCUCCUUCUCUUUCUGAAUUAAGGAUCAUAAAUUGCCCUAACUUGGCAUCCUUCAAUGUGGCAUCAUUACCUCGUCUUGAGAAACUAAGCCUGCGUGGAGUCAGAGCAGAGGUACUGAGGCAGUUCAUGUUUGUCUCUGCUUCUUCUUCAUUGAAGUCUCUGCGUAUACGGGAGAUUGAUGGUAUGAUAUCUCUCCCAGAGGAGCCGCUUCAAUAUGUUUCCACUCUCGAAACUCUCUACAUUGUUAAGUGCUCUGGUUUGGCAACAUUACUACACUGGAUGGGCAGCCUUUCCUCGCUUACGGAACUUAUUAUUUAUGACUGCUCUGAAUUGACAUCACUGCCAGAAGAGAUCUAUUCCCUUAAAAAACUGCAGAAAUUUUAUUUCUGUGAUUAUCCAGACCUAGAGGAAAGAUACAACAAGGAAACAGGUAAAGACCGGGCCAAGAUUGCUCAUAUCCCACAUGUUCGUUUCAACAGUGAUUUGGAUAUGUAUGGGAAGGUAGGUCCGAAAUCCCUAACCUUUCUUCCCAUUUUUAUUAUUUAAGAAUCAAAAUGCUAUGUUUUCAUUUUGUCUCUGGUAAUUCUUUUAUGUUGGCACCUCAUAUGUUUGUUUAAAUGCUCACAUCAAUAACUUUUUGAAAAAUUUUCCAGAUUUGCUGAUGCUGUGUACUAAACUAAUCAUUUUACUUGCAGUUGUACAUUCUAAGAGUUUGAGGAAAUACUGAGGUCUGGUAUGAUAACUCUCAAUCCUUGGAACUGCAUUCAUCUCCUUCUCUUUCUCGAUUAACGAUCCAUGAUUGCCCAAACUUGGCAUCAUUACCUCGUCUUGAGGAACUAAGCCUGCGUGGAGUCAGAGCAGAGGUACCGAGGCAGUUCAUGUUUGUCUCUGCUUCUUCUUCAUUGAAGUCUUUGCAUAUACGGAAGAUUGAUGGUAUGAUAUCUCUCCCAGAGGAGCCGCUUCAAUAUGUUUCCACUCUCGAAACUCUACAUUGUUAAGUGCUCUGGCUUGGCAACAUUACUACACUGGAUGGGCAGCCCUUCCUCGCUUACGGAACUUAUUAUUUAUGACUGCUCUGAAUUGACAUCACUGCCAGAAGAGAUCUAUUCCCUUAAAAAACUGCAGAAAUUUUAUUUCUGUGAUUAUCCAGACCUGGAGGAAAGAUACAAGAAGGAAACAGGUAAAGACCGGGCCAAGAUUGCUCAUAUCCCACGUGUUCGUUUCAAGUGUGAUUUCAAAUUGAAAUGGAAGGUAGGUCCGAAAUCCCCAACCUUUCUUCCCAUUUUUAUUAUUUAAGAAUCAAAAUGCUAUGUUUUCAUUUUAUUAUUAUGUUUUCAUUGUAUCCCUGGCACCUCAUAUGUUUGUUUUUACUGCUCACAUUAAUAAUUUUGAAAUUUUUUUCCAGCUUGGAUGCGCUUUCCGAUGAUGUGCACUAAACUAACCAUUUUACUUGGAGUUGUACAUUCUUAGAGUUUGAGGAAAUACUGAGGUCUGAUAUGAUAACUCUCAAUCUUAAAUGUUGUUUUGUGUUUGGAACGUUACUACACUUGAUACAUACCCUCACCUCACCUCACUUACAGACCCAAGAAUACAUAGGGCCACACUUGGUGAAGGUUUCAUCAGUAAGGAGAACCAUUUCAAGUAUGAAAUCCUCCCUUCUCAUUUUCUGAUGACUUCAUUUUUAUUCAAUAUCCAUUUGAAAUUAUUUAAGUUCAUUUUCUUUAGAUAUUAUAUUUUCUUGCUUGCUCAAUAAUUUCAUUUAAGUAAGUUUUUUGGAUAUCACAUUUUCUUUGGGGUUUUUUUUCUUUUUAGAAUAAUUUCAAAAUGUCAUUUUUAACUAUUCACAAAAUUUGAUCAUAGUUGAGUGAUUAAAAUUCAAGUUUAUUCUUAUUAUCAUUAGUAGUUAUUUGAUAUGUUCGUUUGCUAAUACAAAAAUAAGACUAACAAGUAAUGUGCAUAGAGUUUGUAGAAGAGAAGAAAGAUUUGAUCCAAGAUAUUCCUAAAGAUCGGAAAAUUUCAAAGCCACCCAAGAUCGCACAGGUUGAAUUCGGAUUCAUCCAGUUUACAAUCCAUUAAUUCUACUUAUAUCAUCUUUGUUAUGUUACAAUUUGCCUUUACUUGUUAUGCAGCCUACCUUAAUAAUUUGGGGAGACCAAGAUAAGGUAUUCCUAGUAGAACUGGCUCACAAAUUGAAAAGGUAAACUUGUAUCACCUGCCUACAUGCCUACAACAAUACAAACACUAGCUCAUGUCUUUCUCACUAUUGAAAUUGUUAUUGCGUGCAGGCAUUUCAGGCGAGGAGACCCAACUUGUGAUCAUAGAGCAUACUUUUAUCAUAGAGAAGCCCAAGGAAAUAUUUAAGCACUUGAAAUCAUUUCUCAUUGAUUUGCUUCCACCUCCCAAGCAACACCUAGAACCACUCCCACCAUGACGAAGUUAAAAGGUACUAAUGCAACAUUCUCAAUAUAUUAGAAUAUAUCGAAGGAAGGGUGGCCACAUAUGAAGACCCUAUUCCAAGGUCAAAUUUUAGAUUUUUGUGUUUUUCCUAUCACUAUUCCUAUACUAUUACUAGUGCACCUUAUUUGUCAAGAUGAUUAAAAGGGAAUUCCCUAGGAUAAUUAGUGUCUCAAGUGAUCUUGAGGUUCAUAAAUUUUUGGUUUCCACAAGAUAGGUGCCAACUAUUUUUUUUUUUUUUUUUUUUACACCCAUGCAAUAUUCCAGUCAUCUAUUAACAAGGGCUAAAAUUUCUUGUAGAGAAUAGAAUAAAGAACUAAAUUACAUGAAAAUAGGACAUUAUUAUUCUAUUUACAAGUAAGGGCCAAAAAUUGUUGAGGGCCAUCAAGCACAUUGUUCCUAAAAUAAUAACAUCCAUGUUGUUGAGCAAAAGUUUUUUAUAUUGGCACCUCAGAUGUUUGUUUAAAUGCUCACAUCAAUAACUUUGAAAAUAUUUUCUAGAUUUUUGAAAAAUUGUAAUGUUGUGCACUAAACUAAUCAUUUUACUUGGAGUUCUACAUUCUAAGAGUUUGAGAAAAAACUGUCUGAUAUGACAACUCUCAAUCUUAAAUGUUGUUUUGUGUUUGGAAUAUUACUGCACUUGAUAGAUACCCUCACCUCUCUUACAGAACUUGGAAUUCAUGGCUACCCUGAAUUGACAUCCCUGGCAGAAGAUAUGUUCCCUCAAAAGCCUGUAGACACUAAAACAAUUUGCAUAUGUUCACACUUAGAGGAAAGAUGCUGAAAGGAAAAGUGAAGACUAAGCGAAGAUUGCUUAUAUCCCACAAAUUGAUAUCAUACAUCCAUGAAGAUUGAACUGAUACAAAAUGCCUUUCAGGUUCGAAAUCCCUAACUUUUCUUCUUAUUUUCUAUGACUUCAUUUUUAUUAUCUUACAUUCAAAAAUCCUAUGUUUUCAUUUGUUUUGGUAGUUCUUUUUAUUUGCACCUUAUUUGUUUUAUUAAAUGCUUACUCCAGUAAGUUUAAAAAUUUUUACAUCUUCAAAUCAUUUUGCUUGAGUGUUUUGCAUUCUAAGAGUUUGAGGAAAUAUUGAACUCUAAUAUAAAUAGUAUUGGUCAUAGAGUCUUCCUUUCUUAAGAAGCUUACCAUUAACCUAAUGGCCAAAGGAUCCCAAAAGGAAACAACUUUGGGUUGGCUUGAAGAUUUCACAUGGUCCAAACAUUCAUAUUUACUAGAUGCCUGAUAUAAAAUAAAUUUUGCUCUCUUUUCAAUUUAGCCAUUGAUGUAGUCUAAAUGUUUUAUUAGAGCAAUAAUUGUCCAGUAAAUGCAAAAUAGAGGAUGGUGUUAAUGAAUUCAGUACUUCAUCUAUGUUGUAGACUUGUAGUUUAGCAGCUUCUGUUGAUAAUGAGUGUGAGGUUGGCUUUAUCAUGUCACUGUUCCAAAUAUUCUUAAAAAAAAUCAUUUAAGCUCUAUUAGGUUCUUAGAAAAUUUAAGGGAAAAUGUGAGGAAAACAAAAUAGAGAAGAAAAGUGGAAGGAAAAAAAAGUGAAAGUCAAUGAAUUAUUUUUGUAUGCUACUUCAAACUCACUUCACUUUUUUUAACUCUUCAAUAUAAAGAUUCAAUCAUUUGAAAAAUGUGUAAAUUUCUAAUUAAUUUUAAUUAUAUUUGAUUUUCUUUGGAAUUCUCAUUUCUUCUCAUUUUCUUAUGACUUCAUUUUUAUUCAAUAUCUAUAUGAAAUUAUUUAUGUUCAUUUUCUUUAGAUAUUACAUUUUUUUGCUUUCUCAAUAAUUUCAUUCAAGUUCUUUUGGAUAUCACAUUUUCUUUGGUGUUUUUUUUAGAAUAAUUCAAAAUGUCUUUUUUAACGGUUCACAAAAUUUGAUCAUAGUUGAGUGAUUAAAAUUCAAGUUUAUUAUUAUUAUUAUUAUUAUUAUUAUUAUUAUUAUUAUUAUUAUUAUUGGCUAUUUGAUAUAUUUGUUUUCUUAUACAGAUAAAAGACUGGCAGCUAAUGUGCAUAGAAUUUGUAGAAGAGAAUAAAGAUUUGAUCUAAGUUAUUUCUAAUAGGUUGAGGAAUUCAUUCUUGUAAAAUUUGAGUGUUAAAGCCUUCAAGAGGUUUGAAUCUUGAAGAAAUUAUGUAAGAGCCCAUUGGAGCCAGAAUCCAAGUGUAAAGGAGAUUGGAAGCUUGGUUGAAGCUUCAAGUUAGUGAAACCCUCACUCGGUUAGGAGAUUGAGGAGAGUGGACGUAGGCAAGGAAAUGUCGAACCACUAUAAAAUCCAAGUUUAAAUUCUCUAACUCUAUCUCUUUAUUUUUUUUUAUUAUAUUGUACUUGAAUUUGUUGUGUUGAAAAAGUUUUUGAAAAACCCAAUUCACCCUCCUCUUAGGUGUUUUUCUCAUUUAAGCAUAGCCUUUAUUUUCUCACACUUGAAAUCCUUUCUCAUUAAUUUGCUUCCACCUCAUAAGCAACCCUCGAAACCACUUACACCAUGACAAGGUGAAAAGAAACUAAUGCUGCAUUCUCAAUAUAUAAGAAGAUAUCAAAGGAAGGUUGGCCACAUAUAAGGACCCUGUUUCUAAGGUAGAAUUUUAGAUUUUUGUGUUUUUCCUAUCACUACUCCUAUACUAUUACCAGUGCACCUUAUUUGUCAAGAUGAUUAAAAAGGAAUUCCCUAGGAUAACUAGUGUCUCAAGUGAUCUUGAGGUUCAUAAAUUUUUGGUUUCCACAAGAUAGGUGCCAACUAUUUUUUUUUUUUUUACACCCAUGCAAUAUUCCAGUCAUCUAUUAACAAGGGCUAAAAUUUCUUGUAGAGAAUAGAAUAAAGAACUAAAUUACAUGAAAAUAGGACAUUGUUAUUCUAUUUACAAGUAAGGGCCAAAAAUUGUUGAGGGUCAUCAAGUACAUUGUUCCUAAAAUAAUAGCAUCCAUGAAGAUUGAACUGAUACGAAAUGCCUUUCGAGUUUGAAAUCCCUAAAUUUUCUUCUUAUUUUCUAUGACUUCAUUUUUAUUAUCUUACAUUCAAAAAUCCUCUGUUUUCAUUUGUUUUGGUAGUUCUUUUUAUUUGCACCUUAUUUGUUUUAUUAUACUCCAGUAAGUUUGAAAAUUUUUACAUCUUCAAAUCAUUUUGCUUGAGUGUUUUGCAUUCUAAGAGUUUGAGGAAAUAUUGAGCUCUAAUAUAAAUAGUAUUGGUCAUAGAGUCUUCCUUUCUUAAGAAGCUUACCAUUGACCUAAUGGCCAAAGGAUCCCAAAAGAAAACGACUUUGGAUUGGCUUGAAAAUUUCACAUGGUCCAAACAUUCAUAUUUACUAGAUGCCAGAUACAAAAGAAAUUUUGCUCUCUUUUUAAUUUAGCCAUUGAUGUAGUCUAAAUGUUUUAUUAGAGCAAUAAUUGUCCACUAAAUGCAAAAUAGAGAAUGGUGUUAAUGAAUUCAGUACUUCAUCUAUGUUGUAGACUUGUAGUUUAGCAGCUUCUGUUGAUAAUGAGUGUGGGGUUGGCUUUAUCAUGUUACUGUUCCAAAUAUUCUUAAAAAAAAUCAUUUAAGCUUUGUUUGGUUCUUAGAAAAUUUGAGGGAAAAUGUGAGGAAAACAAAAUAGAGAGGAAAAGUGGAAGGAAAAAAAAGUGAAAGUCAAUGAAUUAUUUUUGUAUGCUACUUCAAACUCACUUCACUUUUUUUAACUCUUCAAUAUAAAGAUUAAAUCAUUUGAAAAAUGUGUAAAUUUCUAAUUAAUUUUAAAUAUAUUUGAUUUUCUUUGGUAUUUUCCAAAAGAUAAUCAAAUAUGAGAAAAUCAUUUUCCUUAACAUUUUUUUUUUCUUAGUACUUUUAGUGAACCAAACAUAACCUAAAUGUUUUAGUUUAGUAGUUUCAUCAAAUUAGAUAGACAACCUCACAUCUCUUAGUGAGCUCAGGUGCUAUGUCAAUUAAUGCUUUGUCUCUACUUCUUCAUUGAAGUCUCUAUUUAUUGGAUGCACAGAUGAUAUGAUCCAAACUCAAAUUGAACACUACUCUUGUUUUGCAACAUUACUGCACUCGAAAGACAACUUCAACUCACUUAUAGACCUUCUUAUUGGUGAUUGCACUAAAUCGACACCACUUUGGAAGAGAUGUGUUCCACAUAGAAAAUAUUUCAUUAUAUGCACCUACUCGCAAGAUACCAAAGGGAAACAAGUGAAUACUUGCCUAGGAAUACAAAGGCCAUACUUAGUGAAGGUUCCAUCAAUAAGGAGAACCAUUUCAAGUAUGGAAUUCUCAUUUAUUCUCAUUUUCUUAUGGCUUCAUUUUUAUUCAAUAUCUAUAUGAAAUUAUUUAUGUUCAUUUUCUUUAGAUAUCACAUUUUUUUGUUUUCUCAAUAAUUUCAUUCAAGUUCUUUGGAUAUCACAUUUUGUUUGGUGUUUUUUUUAGAAUAAUUCAAAAUGUCUUUUUUAACGAUUCACAAAAUUUGAUCACAGUUGAGUGAUUAAAAUUCAAGUUUAUUAUUAUUAUUAUUAUUGGUUAUUUGAUAUAUUUGUUUUCUAAUACAGACAAAAUACUAGCAGCUAAUGUGCAUAGAAUUUGUAGAUAGAAUUUGUAGAAGAGAAUAAAAAUUUGAUCUAAGCUAUUCCUAAAGACCAUAAACUUUUAGAGCUACCCAAGAUCUAACAGGUUAAAUUUUGAUUCACUUAGUUUACAAUCCACUAAUUAUCCUUAUGUCAUUUUUGUUAUGUUACAAAUUGCCUUUACUUGUUAUGCAACCUAUCUUAAUAAUUUGGGAAGACCAAGAUAACAUCUUCCUAGUAGAACUGGCUCAAAAAUUGAAAAGGUACACUCAUAUCACCUAUCUACAUGCCCACAACAUUAUAAACACUAGCUCAUGUGUUCCUCACUAUUGAGAUUGUUGUUGCAUGCAGGCAUUUUGGGCGAGGAGGCCCGACUUGUGAUCAUCAAUAACACAAGGCAUGCUUUUAUACAGAGAAUCCCAAAUAAACAUUUAAGCACUUUGUUAGCCCAAGGGUUCUCCUAAUCAGGUUUUGAUGAUAACAAACCAUGGUUAAGUGACUAAUUGGUUUGAAUGAUAAAGAAUCUUAGGUAUAAAUUUGGAAAUUCAUCAAAUGAUCAAAUGGAUACAAGAUCGAGACUUUUGGAAGACUUUUGAUCAUAGGAAACAAAUGUAAGAUGAAUGCAUGGGUGCACUUAGGUUUUACAUAUCUUUUCAUGAAUCUUUGAAAACUCGGUUUAUUCCUUAAAAUUACGAUUUCAUUAAAACCCGAGUUUUAUCAAAUGUACCUUAGGCAAAACAUUUCAAAAUUGGCAUAUUAAUUUACCUAAAGACCUUGCCUAAGUGUUAGAAAGGAAAAGAAUUGAAAAAUAUAGGUUUUCAGGGCCAAAAGGCUGAACUGAUCGAGGCACAUGCCAACCGGCUCAACCAACCAGGGAACCGGUCAAUCGGUUGCUCUUGCCCGAUCGAGAUCUGGUCGAGGAGUGUCAAAAACACUUUCUCUCAUCCAGUAACCUUCUCUUCCCAGUCGAGGUACUCUCCUUACCUCUGGUCGAGGUUCGGUCGAGGCAACGGUAACAUGCCAAAGCAUUAAAUGCUUCAACGACUAGUGAACCAAUCGACCCCCGGCUCGACCGGUUGAGGCUAUUUUUUGCUCUUUUUGGCUCCCGAGCUUAGAAACCAAUAAAUUGAGAGCUCCACUUCAUUUAUGACAUAGAGAAAACUUGCAAUCAAUUGUCUACCCACUUGUUCUUGCCUUAAAAGCUCUCAUUUAUUUCUUAGUGCAUUAAAUCCUCACUUGCAUAUCCUUUAGUACACCCUUGUGAAUCAUCCUAGCUUUGAUUUGUAUUUGAACUAUCAUUGAGGUAGAUUGAGGGAUUCAUUCUUGUAAAAAUUGAGUAUUAAAGCCUUCAAGAGGUUUGAAUCUUGAAGAGAUUAUGUAAGAGCCCAUUGGAGCCAGAAUCCAAGUGUAAAGAAGAUUGGAAGCUUUGUUGAAGCUUCAAGUUAGUGGAACCCUCACUCGAUUAGGAGAUUGAGGAGAGUGGACGUAGGCAAGGAAAUGUUGAACCACUAUAAAAUCCGAGUUUAAAUUCUCUAACUCUAUCUCUUUAUUUUUUAUUAUAUUGUGCUUGAAUUUGUUGUGUUGAAAAAGUUUUUGAAAAACCCAAUUCACCCAUUUCUUAGGUGUUUUUCUCAUUUAAGCAUAGCCUUUAUUUUCUCACUCUUGAAAUCCUUUCUCAUUAAUUUGCUUCCACCUCAUAAGAAACCGUCAAAACCACUUACACCAUGACAAGGUGAAAAGAAACUAAUGCAACAUUCUGAAUAUAUCAGAAGAUAUCAAAGGAAGGUUGGCCACAUAUGAGAACCUUGUUUCUAAGGUAGAAUUUUAGAUUUUUUUGUUUUUCUUGUCACUGUUUCUAUACCAUUACUAGUGCACCUUAUUUGUCAAGGUGAUUAAAAGGGAAUUCCCUAGGAUAACUAAUGUCUUAGAUGAUCUUAAGGUUCAUAAAUUUUUGGUUUCAACAAGAUAGGCGUCAAACCAUUUUUAUUUUUUUCUACACCCAUGCAAUAUUCCAUUCAUUUAUUAAUAAGGGCUAAAAUUUCUUGUAGAGAAUGGAAUAAAGAACUAGAUUAAAUUAAAUAAGACAUUAUUAGUCUAUUUACAAGUAAGGGCAAAAAAUUCUUGAGGGUCAUUAAGCACACUAUUCCUAAAAUAAUAACAUCCAUGUCGUCGAGCAAAAGUUUAUUGCAAUUACAUUAGCAUAUAAAACAAAACUAAUUUUUUUAUUAUUUAUGUUCACACCUUAUCCAUUUGAUAAAAUGCUUAAACAAGUAAGUUUGAAUUUUUUUUGUCUUCAAAUCAAUUUAAAUUUUACAUUCAAAAGUUGAAUUAAUUUUUUUUUUUGGAAAAUUUAACUGCACUUUAGAAGUUUGUGAUUAUUCUUUGGUCCAUCUUAAAAUGAGUUCCCGCAUUUUUCCAUUCCUGAAAUUAAAAUCACAAUAAAAAGUUUUAGAUUGACCUAAAAUUUUCUCAUGGCCUAGAAAUUCAUAUCUACUAGAUGGCUAAAGCAAAAAAACACUUCUAUCUUGUAUUUUAAGUAAUCCCUGCUUGCUAUUUGUUUAUUGAGAGCAUCAUACAAGUUGUGAUUAUAUUUCUUAAUUUUUUUAUAUGAUAAGACGGUAACUGGAUUGAGAAAGAUGCAACUUGUAGAGCAGAAAAUUUCUUGACUACUUUCCUUGUAUUUGCUUUGUGUGUAUCAACUGUUCUGUUAAUUAUUUUUUUAAAAUAUCACUAAAACAAACCUAUUAUGUCAAUGCUCUCUAUUGUUAUGUAUCAUAAUUUAGCUAUUUUUUCCCUAGAAAUCAUGCUUGUUAUUGUGUUAAUCAGUAGGUAGCAUAAGAACUAUUUUGUUCAAGUCAUUUUGUAUUGGCAUUCUUCAUGUUUUAAAAUAUUGUCAGACUAGCAAUUUUACUGCAGAUAUAAUGUUCUCAAAUCAAUGCAAAAAGGGACGUUGUGGGGCUUGGGCACAACCUUCCUUAAAUAGUUGAAUUGAGGGUUUCUAUAAACUAGGUCUCUAUAUCAACAGAUUCUACAUUUCAUCACUAUGGGGACCUUACAAUAAAUACCGCAAAAAACUUCAUUUACUACAUAGUAAGGAUAAUCCUAAGGACUUAAAAGCUUGAGUUGUCUUUUCCAUGGCAGCUUCAGAUCUCUUAAUAAGCUCCAAGUCAUUGUCUACCUUGAAUAUAAAUCACUGCUAGAAGUAUGUGCCCUCAACAUUCCCAUGUUCUCGAUAUUGACUAGAUAUUUGUUGCUAAUCCAUGAAGAAUUGAAGGGAUCUUUGAUAAUGACAUCUAUAAUGUACUUCAAGUUCAUGAUCCAAACCCUCUUCUUGCUUUCAAUAACUUCAUUUUUUUUUUAUAUUACUUUGUGGUCAAUGUUAUAAGGAUGUUGUAUUUUGUUUACCUGAUUCUCAUCCAUCAGCACACAUGAAAGGAAAAGUUUUACAUUGCUUUCCUUCCCUUUGCUCUGUGUUUGUAUAUGUUUAUGCAGCUAAUGCGAACUUCCACCAUAACUUUUUAAGUUUUUUCAUUCUUGAGUUUGGGAAACAACUGGAUUUGAUUGUAAUAUUUCUUGUAGAUAUCACCUUUCUUAAAAAGCUUGCAUUUAUUCACAUUUUCAAGAUGGCUAAGUCAUCUGAUUAUGCUUAUAACUUUUGGUUUCUAUUAAAUUCAGGUAUGAUGUUUGCAAUGCUAACCCCCUUACUCCUCUUGAAGACUACAUAAGUUUCUAGUGCUGUUACUUUAAUGGUUAUAGUCAAUGUAUCCUCUUGUUACUUCCUGCUUGCAUUCUAUAUGUUCAAGAGCUUUAUUAAAGUAAUUAUUUUAUUGAAGAUAUAAUUGUUUUCAGGUCAAAGCAAAAUUGAAUAAUGACGUGGUUUCAACAACUUCUCAAAAGUAAUUGGAAAGUAAGGAACUUUGUGGUAGUAUUCUGAUAUCACAUUGGGCCUUCAAAUUGUUGUCUUGAAUUGACAUAAAUAACAUAAUUUCUUUCCCAGUUAAGUUGCUUCAACAUGUUAUUAUGCUUCAAACUCUUUCAAUUAUGUGUUGUUUAGGUUUGGCAACAUUAGUACACUGGAUAUGUUGCCUCGAGUUACUUACACGACAUAAAAUUCAUCUUUGUUGUUAACUAGCAUCACUACCACAAGAUGAGUUCCCUCAGCAUUCUACAGACAACUAUAAUUUGGGACAAUUCUGGUUUGGCAACAUUAUCGGAGUUGAUAGGCAACCUAACAAAAACCUUUAAAUUUAUAUUUAUCCCGAACUAGCAUCACUGCUGGAAGACGUGCAUCCUUAGCACCCUAUAACCACUCAUAAUUGGAGACUGUUAUGGUUUGUAAACAUUCAACAGACUUGAUAGGUAACCUUGCACCAGUUACAGAGCUUCAAAUUCAUGGCUAUCUUGAAUUGACAUCACUUUCAAACUAGAUGGUUCAUCCAAACCUCAGUUGACACCCAUAAUUCAAGACUUCUCCAUUUUGGCAAUGAUAGCAGAUUUGAUAAGCAUCCCUACUUCACUUACAUACACUAAAAUUGAUAGCUACCUCGGAUUCACAUCAUUGUCACAAGAGAUUGGUUCCUUUAUAUCCCUGCAGACACUUGUGAUCUUUUAUCAUCCAUGUAUAUUAGAAAGACUUAAAAGGGAAAUAGAUGAAGAUAGGCCCAAUAAUCUUCAGUCCUAGAUAUUGAUAUGUGGUGAAGAUUGGACUAAUAUAGAGUUAGUUCAGGUUUGAAAUCCCAAUCUUUCUUCUCAUUUUUUAUGGUUUUGUUUUUAUCAAUAUGCUUUGUUUACAUUCUAUAUGGUAACUUUUGUAUGUAUUAGCAUAUAGAUCAAAAAGGACUUAGAUGAUUAAUUUGAAAAGUUUGCAUCCUCAAUUAAUUAGUAAUUAAAGACCAAACUAAUCAUAUUACUUUAAGUCUUGCAUUGUAAGAGUUUGGGAAAAUGUUAGGGUUGACUGAACUACUAUUUUAUAACAGAUUUUGCCUUACUCAAGAAUCUUGUGAUUAUUCCUUAGCACAAUCAUUUCUCGUGUCUAAGAAAUUCAUAUCUACUACAUGUCCAAAGAAUUUAGUAGCAUUCAAAAUUUAUGCUUUCUUUCAAGUCAGGUGUAUUGCUUGCAGUUCUAACAUGUUUCCUAUUUUGAACGUUGUAUUGUUAUUUUACUAUCAAUGUGUUAAGAGCAUUAUACUCUAUUUUCUAUAAUGUUGUUUACUUGUCAUAAGUAUUAAUUAUUUUAUUGCAAAUGUACUUGUUGCCAAGUUAAAGCAAAAGAGGAAAGUGAGGAUUUUUCAUGGACCAAUGCCUUUCUCAGUUGCUGCCACACUUGACUUCUCUCUAAGUUGUUGAAAAUUUAAAAGUGUGGUAGCAUAAAGUAUUCAGCUCAAGUGCUUUAGUGACUCACUACCCUUGAAGCUUUAGAAGUUGUCAAUACAAUUGGGGUUUCAACAUGUAACCAUUUUGGAAAUUCUAAGAAGUGUAAGUAUUAUGGUUUUACAACUUUAUUAGACUAGAUAGGCAACUUCAAAUUGCUGAAUGCCCUGAAUUAAAAUCACUACUAGAAGGAACCCAUGAGCACUCUAUAGAAACUCAUUGUAAGAGUUUGGGAAAAUGUUAGGGUUGACUGAACUACUAUUUUAUAACAGAUUUUGCCUUACUCAAGAAUCUUGUGAUUAUCCCUUGGCACAAUCAUUUCUCGUGUCUAAGAAAUUCAUAUCUACUACAUGGCCAAAGAAUUUAGUAGCAUUCAAAAUUUAUGUUUUCUUUCAAGUCAGGUGUAUUGCUUGCAAUUCUAACAUGUUUCCUAUUUUGAAUGUUGUAUUGUUAUUUUACUAUCAAUGUGUUAAGAGCAUUAUACUCUAUUUUCUAUAAUGUUGUUUACUUGUCAUAUGUAUUAAUUAUUUUAUUGCAAAUGUACUUGUUGCCAAGUUAAAGCAAAAGAGGAAAGUGAGGAUUUUUCAUGGACCAAUGCCUCUCUCAGUUGCUGCCACACUUGACUUCUCUCUAAGUUGUUGAAAAUUUAGAAGUGUGGUAGCAUAAAGUAUUCAGCUCAAGUGCUUUAGUGCCUCACUACCCUUGAAGCUUUAGAAGUUGUCAAUACAAUUGGGGUUUUAACAUGUAACCAUUUUGGAAAUUCUAAGAAGUGUAAGUAUUAUGGUUUUACAACUUUAUUAGACUAGAUAGGCAACUUCAAAUUGUUGAAUGCCUUGAAUUAAAAUCACUACUAGAAGGAACCCAUGAGCACUCUAUAGAAACUCAUUGUAAGAGUUUGGGAAAAUGUUAGGGUUGAUUGAACUACUAUUUUAUAACAGAUUUUGCCUUACUCAAGAAUCUUGUGAUUAUCCCUUAGCACAAUCAUUUCUCGUGUCUAAGAAAUUCAUAUCUACUACAUGGCCAAAGAAUUUAGUAGCAUUCAAAAUUUAUGUUUUCUUUCAAGUCAGGUGUAUUGCUUGCAAUUCUAACAUGUUUCCUAUUUUGAACGUUGUAUUGUUAUUUUACUAUCAAUGUGUUAAGAGCAUUAUACUUUAUUUUCUAUAAUGUUGUUUACUUGUCAUAUGUAUUAAUUAUUUUAUUGCAAAUGUACUUGUUGCCAAGUUAAAGCAAAAGAGGAAAGUGAGUAUUUUUCAUGGACCAAUGCCUCUCUUAGUUGCUGCCACACUUGACUUCUCUCUAAGUUGUUGAAAAUUUAGAAGUGUGGUAGCAUAAAGUAUUCAGCUCAAGUGCUUUAGUGCCUCACUACCCUUGAAGCUUUAGAAGCUGUCAAUACAAUUGGGGUUUUAACAUGUAACCAUUUUGGAAAUUCUAAGAAGUGUAAGUAUUAUGGUUUUACAAAUUUAUUAGACUAGAUAGGCAACUUCAAAUUGUUGAAUGCCUUGAAUUAAAAUCACUAUUAGAAGGAACCCAUGAGCACUCUAUAGAAACUCAUUGUAAGAGUUUGGGAAAAUGUUAGGGUUGAUUAAACUACUAUUUUAUAACAGAUUUUGCCUUACUCAAGAAUCUUGUGAUUAUCCCUUGGCACAAUCAUUUCUCGUGUCUAAGAAAUUCAUAUCUACUACAUGGCCAAAGAAUUUAGUAGCAUUCAAAAUUUAUGUUUUCUUUCAAGUCAGGUGUAUUGCUUGCAAUUCUAACAUGUUUCCUAUUUUGAACGUUGUAUUGCUAUUUUACUAUCAAUGUGUUAAGAGCAUUAUACUCUAUUUUCUAUAAUGUUGUUUACUUGUUAUAUGUAUUAAUUAUUUUAUUGCAAAUGUACUUGUUGCCAAGUUAAAGCAAAAGAGGAAAGUGAGGAUUUUUCAUGGACCAAUGCCUCUCUCAAUUGCUGCCACACUUGACUUCUCUCUAAGUUGUUGAAAAUUUAGAAGUGUGGUAGCAUAAAGUAUUCAGCUCAAGUGCUUUAGUGCCUUACUACCCUUGAAGCUUUAGAAGCUGUCAAUACAAUUGGGGUUUUAACAUGUAACCAUUUCUUUUUGUUCUUAUAGACAAUAGAACAAUGUGGUAAUUGCAUGACAUACAAUUUGUAAUAGAUGGUCAACUAUAUAUUAAGUAAUCUUUAAUUGCCUUGGAGUUGAAACGUUUGAUGUUGAUAAGGUUUGAUAAUUCUUGCUUUGGUGCUUUGUUGGAUUUCAAUUCAGGUAAUUAAUUGAUCUUGUUAUGAUUUUUUGAUUGUUAUUAUAACUAUCGUGAUAAUCAUUCUUAUUUUAUCGUGGUAAUUGACUUCACUGACUUUAUGCCCAACCUAUUAUUGUUAGUAUUCCAUUAACAUACCUCUAAUGCCACCACUAAUAAACAUCAUGUGUUUAUAUUUAUAACACGUUUCAUUACUGAAAUAAUUUAAUAUUUUCAAAUUUCUUUUUAGAGUGUGAGAAAUAACCAUUAAUCUUUACAACAGCAUAAGUAUCAUUGAUUUGAUAUUGCUUUCUUGAGUAAUUUGGCAAUUUAAUUAUGAAGUUUAGUUGGACAUUACUUGAGAUUCAUGUCUUAUGUAUAUGGUAUAUUUUCCAAACUUCAAUUAUAUUUAGUAGACUUGUAAGUGGUGUUUGUCUAUGAGUUUCAACUCUUGAAAACUAUUAUUGGAGUCUAAGUUCACUUUCAAUAAGGAAAAAAAAAAAUCAACCUUUUCCUCAAUUGUGUAAUUUUAUUCACUAUUGACAUGCCCUUAAAUGGCAUUGCUAUUAUUUGUAGGGAACAUUGUCAAGUUCCAUAUUUGUCUAGAAAGUUAGAAGAAGUAUUUAAUUUGACAUGGUUUGGACAUCUUGCUACUAUCUUUUUAAAUUAGUUAUCAAUAAUUUUUCAAAGUUGACCUUUUUGUUUAUCUCAUACUCCUUUUAUAUUAAAAGGUAUCGCAUGGGUAUUAUGUAGAGGAAUCAUGCCUUCUUUAAUUGAGGUGAGCCUCUUGCAAAAUAUUUCAGGUUUGCUCUCAUUCCAUUUGUUACUUCAUGUCUAUUUUUUUGUAAUCAAUCAAGCAAGAGUUUCUUACUUGUACAAUGGUGAACUUGCUUGCAUGAAUAAUACUCUUUUUACUAUUUUUUUCUUUCUUUAUUAUAUUCAUUGAUACGCUUAGAAGUGAAUAGUGAACCAGGUUUUUUGUUAAAAGAAAUCAAAUAUUGGUAAUUAUUUAGUAUCAUGUUUGUAAUAAUCAAUUAUUGAUUGUAAAGAUACUUGGCUUAAUCAAUUAUUAUAUUGAAAUCAAUUUAGUACUAUGACUAAUACCAAAAGGAUAAUAUUUAGUCUUGUUUGACCAUUAGUCACUAUUCUAGAGACAAAUGCUCACAAGUUUUGCAUCUUUGAAGCAUAUGAGAAAAGUUGGUUCAACUAUAUCACCAACUUACAAGCUCCUUAUAGUGUCCAUAUAUAUAACCUUCGUUGUUCAGGUUUAUGAUUCAUAUCUUUUUUUUUUUCAUCUUUUUAUUGUUUAUAAUUUUUUAAUUGAUUUGUUUAUAAAUUUUUAAACUUUAUUGGCAAUACUAAUUAUUUUUUUUUAUUCUCAUGUGCAAUAGAAUAAUAAGUUGAAUAAGAAGCAUAAACUACUUAAUUGGUAUAACCGUUUACUCAAUUCUCUUCUCAUAUAUUUUUGUUCAAGGUAAUCAAAGUAUCAUUCUUUUUAUUUUUAAAGGUACUUGAACUCAGUGAGGACCAUUCCCAAAACAAGCAAUCAUUACAGUUGGAUUACUGAUAUCAUAUCCUUGAUUGACAUCUAUGCCAUUACAUUUGCAUCUAAAGGAUUUAUAAUGAAAAAAUAUCUUUUUUAUUUCCAUUUUCCUUCCUUCUUUUGACCAUAAUUUGUGUGCUUAUUGAUAGCAUUCAUACCCUAAUAUAUUUGCUAGCAUAUAUAUGCAUAUCAUAAUCUAUUGAAUUUUUUAGCAUAAGGUCUUAGAGUAUUCACAUAUCUCUAGGUUCUAUAUAUUUAUAAUUUUUACAACAUCAAAUGAAGUAUAUGAACCUUAUCCUGAAGGUGAAGUCUCUUUAAAGGGAGUUUCAACAUGUUAGCAAUUACCUAACUUAAUAAUCUAACAAUUUGGCACUAUAUAUAAUUUUGCAACUCUUUCAUAAAGUAAUUGUGUUACCUUUAUUCACAUUUUCUAUCUUUAUUUUAAAAAAAAUGAAUUGGUAAUUGUGUGUCAAAUCUUGCUUACAAUCAUUAAUAGGUACUUAUAUGCUAAAUGGAUAAAGUUAUUUUACAAUUGUUUCAACAUAUUUGGAAUAUAUAUAUAUAUAUAUAUAUAUAUUUAUAGAUGUAAUCACUACCAAGCCAAUGCGAAAAGCUAUAACAAUGAGGAUUACAAAGCUUCAAUUAUGUCUUGGAGAUUCAUAUUGACAAGUUGUAAAUGGUGGGUGAAGUCUCUUUAAAAGGAGCUUCAACAUGUUAGCAGUUACCAAACUUAAGAAUCUAACAACUUGACACUAUAUAUCAUUUUGCAACUCUUUCAUAAAGUAAUUGUGUAACCUCUAUUCACAUUUUCUAUCUUUAUUUUAAAAAAAAAAAUGAAUUGGUAAUUGUGUGUCGAAUCUUGCUUACAAUCAUUAAUAGGUACUUAUAUGCUAAAUGGAUAAAGUUAUUUUACAAUUGUUUCAACAUAUUUGACACACAAGUACCUAUUAAUAAGUAUAUAUUUAUAGAUGUAAUCAUACCUAGCCAAUGCGAAAAGCUAUAACAAUGAGGAUUACAACGCUUCAAUUAUGUCUUAGAGAUUCAUAUUGACAAGUUGUAAAUGGUGGGUGAAGUCUCUUUAAAAGGAGCUUCAACAUGUUAGCAGUUACCAAACUUAAGAAUCUAACAACUUGGCACUAUAUAUCAUUUUCCAACUCUUUCAUAAAGUAAUUGUGUAACCUCUAUUCACAUGCUCUAUCUUUAAUUUUUUUUUUUUUUUAAAAAAAAUGAAUUGGUAAUUGUGUGUUGAAUCAUUCUUACAAUAUUUAAUAGGUACUUAUACACUAAAUUGAUAAAGUUAUUUUACAAUUGUUUCAACAUGUUCUGAAAACAAAAAAGAUUAAUAAGUAUAUUUUUUCUAGAUGUAAUCACUACCAAGCCAAUGUGAAAAGCUAUAACAAUGAGGCUUACAAAACUUCAAUUAUGUUUUGGAGAUUCAUAUUGAAAGUUGUAGAUUAUGGAUGUAUAGUAUAGGAGUUAGAUUGAGUUUAUCAUUCUAUCUUUGACAUCUUAGUUUUCUAUGUAUUGUCCAUCAUAUAUAUUUGUCAUCUAUUCUUUACAACCAAUUUUUUAAGGACUUCUAUGAUUUGUUUAAAUUUAUAUAUUUGUUUUUAUUUGUACUAGAACUUCACCAAGCUACAAAAGCAUCACAAGUAUUGCAAUUGGAGUUCAUGGAUCAGGUAUUUUAGUAGUUUUUGUACCUGAAAUUUUUUUAUGAUACUAAUGAGGAUGUUUACCUUGAUUAAUUUAACACUUAUAUUGCAAAUAUCUAUAUAGGAGUUCUAUACAUUUAUUUAAACAUUUAUAUACAUAUUUAUCCUCUUUCUAGCACAUUCUAAUGAUAUUUUUAACAUUGAUAUAAGUUGUUUGCUUGAAGGUUUCAACUAUUGAAAAUUAUUAUUCAAGCCUAAUGUUAAUCUUUUUCUAUAGUGGAUUUCAAAUAAUAAAUUCUUAUUUGAUUAUUUGUAGGGAAAAUAAACAACUUCUAUGUUUGAUAAGAAAGAAGAUAGAGUAGAUCAAUUUCACAAUAUACGAAUGCUACGCUUUCUAUACUUUUAAAGAUGGUUACAAUUGGCUUUCUAUACUUAACAAGUACAUCUUAGCUAAAAGUGAAAAAAUGUUUCUCUUUGCACAUGCCUUCACUACUAUUUUAAUUGCUAUCUUAAUAUGUUAUGGAAAAACCACGGCAAAUAACAAUAAUAAGGAGAAGAAAUAAAAGAACAAAAAUAUAAAACUUAUAAAGUAGGAUGAUCUAUGUGGUUUGGCCUAAACCUACAUUUAUAUGUGAAAAUGAAGAAGAACUUCCACUAUUAUUAAAGGAGAUUAAAAUCCUAAAGCUUUCAAAUCUCAUGAUUACACUAAAAAUGGACUUUUUUUUUUAAUCAAAAUCUCUUCCUUUAUUUUCUUGAUUAUAUAAGAAUAUUCCAUAGAGAAUUAAUUGUGUAAUUAUCAAAGAUAACUAUUCCUAAAAGAAAAAUCUUAUAAUAUGAUAUUUCCUUUAGAAUAAAAGAAAAAUCUCUUGUAUAAAUAUAUCAUAAUAGGAAAAUAUUAAAGACUUAUAAAUUGACUCAAAACAAUUUGAAAUAUUUUUCAACAAUCUCCACAUUGGCUCAAAUUCUCAAUAUUCAAAUAAACUCAAAAGUCUUCUAUGUUACUUUGCUCUUAUACACCCUUAAGGGAACUUCAAGUAAUAUCAAUACCAAUUAAGUCUAAGCAAUGCAUAAACUUAAUCAUAGAAAUAAGUUUAGCCAUCAUAUCUAUAAAAUUAUCAACUAUAGGGAUCUUUUUCAUUACAUUAGUACCUUGUUCAAUCACAUCUCUAAUAAAAUGCAUUCUAACAUCAAUAUGUUUGGUUCUCUCAUGUAACAUAUGAUUUUUAGUCAAAAGUAUGACACUUGGCUACCAUGAUAACAAUAAUCAAUGAUUGGAACCAAAUAAUUACAUUUUGUGUGCCUAAAAUUAGGCAUUCAUAUUUAAUAUCCAAUUCUAGUUUCAUCCCUUUACUCAAUUUUAUUCCUAAGUCCUUAAUUUUGGGUUUAAUGUAUUUUUUAAAUAUUUUCCUUCUUUUUUGGUAUAUUUAUAUCACAUUUUUGCUAGCCAUUAUAUUUUUCAUGUGUUGGUUGCUAAUUUUACACUACAUAGUUGUCACAUCAUCCAACUAAUGGUUGUUACAUUAUCCAACUAUGGGCUGCCACAUGCUCCAGCUACCUUAGCCUCCUUGCCAAGUAUUUUCCAUGCCAAAAAAAGAUUGACAACUAUUUCAAUUGGUUGGUAAAGUUGAGAAAAGCUUCCACCAACCUCGCCAUUAAGUUGUGCUCCUUGCUCCAAUUUCUAAUUUUGCUUUCUACCCUCUUGUGGAGUUAGUGUGGAAAUGACUUUAUACAAGGGAGAUGAAGGUUGGUUUUAAGUAAGGUAGCUUAUUUGUAAACUUGUAUUUCCUUCAUUCAGGCGGUAGUUCUCAUUUCUUAGCCUUGAUUUUCAAUUUUGAUCCUCUCAUCUUGCCUCUAUGAGUGGCCAACAUCCAAACCAAGGAAUAAUUUUUAAUAAAAUAUUAAUAUUAAUGUUCAAAUAAAAUCAUAUAUUUAUAUUCCUUAUCACAUUUAUAGGAAGAGAAAUAUUUGAGACUAGGCCCAGUUCACUUUUUAUAAUUAUAAAUAUCAUAAAAAUAUGAAUAUUAAUAUCCUUAUCCUCAUAAAAGCAUAAUUAAUUUAUUUUAUAAAAAAUUAAUAAUAAUAAUAAUAAUUACUAGUACGAUUUUAUUUUAAAUAGAUUUAAAAUUAAAUAAAGUUUAAUUUUUAAGGUAUACAUGCAUAAGUUUUUCAUUACAUAUACACAUUUAAUACUUAAUUAGUAAUAGUGUAUUCUAAAAUUUUUUUAUCUAGUCUAUAACUAAUUAAUCCAUUUUUUGGAAUUCUAAAUUGUUCUUAAAAAUUAAAAUAUUCAUUAAAGAAUUGAAAGUGUUUAUUAUGUUUAACUUAAUUUAAAUUUAUUUAUCUAGUGAGAAAAUUCAUAAAAUAUAGUUUUAUGUAUAAAGGAAAUAGUAACGACUUUACAUUUAACGAAUCUUUUAUUUUAUAUUGAUUCAUUUAAUAGUCUAUUAUAUAUAUUUAAAAUUUAUUAAACUCAUUAAUAAAUUCAAUACAAAGUUUUACUUAAUUUGAAAUUCAUCUCUCUAGUGAAAAAAUUGAAAAAAAAUAUUAUUUUGUGAAAAAAAAAUACAAUAAAAUCAUUCUAAACUAAUUUUUGUCCAUAGAUUUUUUGUAUUUAUUAGUUUAUUAUUUGAUUUUUAAAUUAAUUUAAAAAAUUAUUAGACUUAUUAAUGAAUCCAAUACAUUAUUUUUUUGUUUAAUUUAUUUAUCACACCAUCAAACAAACUUUUAUUAUUAGUAAAAGACCUCUCAAAAGAUGUUUUUUUUCUAAAUAAAAAAAAAUAUUAUAAACGAUGUUUGAUUCGAGAGUUUUUUAAAAAUAAAAAUUAUUUUAAAUUAUGUGUACAUAAUUGUUGCAAAUUUAUUUCUUUUUCCAUUACCAUUUUCAUUCCUACUUAACAUUGAAAUGAAAACAAAUAAUCAAUUAAACCUUACAUUUAUUCCUAAUCCAAUGACAAGAAUUGGUAUCACCGAAUUCAUUCCAUUCUCUAGUCUCAUGUAUCAAACAUAGUCGUAUAGUACCAAAAACUUCUUCUAAGUAAUGUGGAAUAUCACAUUCACUUUCAUACAGAUACAGUUUUUAUUGUAUCACAUGGAAUUGUGAGGCCUUUUAGUACCAUUUGUAAUGACCCACCUCCAAUUAUAUAAAUAUUAUUUGGUCUAAGUCCAAUGGACUCUAAUCGGUUUUAAAACUUGGCUAUACUGUUAAGAGAAGUCUACUAUGUAUACAAUCUUCUCCUAAUAAACAUGUGACAUAACAAAUGGUGGGACUCAAACUAAAGCAAGGCCUUUCAAACUGUCUACCAUCUUAGUUUCAGCAUGAAUUCAAUUUGUUCCAAACAACAUAACUCUGGAGUAUUUUAAACAAACGAUUUCCAUUUAAAACACAUUAUUAAAGUAUAAAGAAAACAAACCCGAUCUUCAAGCGGUUUUGGGGAUCACCUGUGGAAGAGCAGUGAAAUAGAAAUAUCCACUAAGUGUAUAGGGACCCAAGAUCAACACAUGCAACAGGAUAUCUAAUUCCUCCUAAUAUCAUCAGCAUGAAGAAAAUUGGCAUCAUUUCCACUGAGUUCUGAUGCCCUCUCUGAAAAAAAAAUAAAUGCAAAACAUUUGUUUUUUCUAAUCAUCGGUCAUCCAUACAUAGAAAAAUCUAUGUGUGAUCUUAAGCCAGAAAAGAUGUUGCAUCUAAUCAAAUUCACUAGACAUGAUGAUAUCUAUACUUUUUUUUUUUUUAAUUAUAUUCAUAUUUAUGUCAGAAAAUAAAUUUUUUAUUUUUUAUUUUUAGAACAUUAAACUUUUUAAAAGUCCUUUCUGGGAUAUUUUCUAGCUUUUUCCUUUUGCUAAUUUUUGUUAUUCAAACAAAUCUUAAGAAAGGAAUCAAGCUUGGACACAAUUAAAGAGCUUGGCAUCCUUGUUUUUAGAUUCCAAAGCAUAUAUAGAGAUUGGGGUAAAACACCUUGUACCUAAGAAAAAAAAAGGAAAAAAAAACACCACAACAAAAAAUUAACCAAAAAUCAGAAAACUAACUAGAAUAAAAAAUCAAGAAAAUAUUUUUUUCUGGGUUAAUAAUUAAUUAUAAUGAAAUCAAAAGAAAAAGAAAAAAUACAUACUUCUUCCUGGCUUUGCCUACACUGAAAGCCAUGAAAGAAUUGGAAAAGCAGUAAAGAACAAGAACAAGAACCACAUAUGGGGAAAGCAAAUCCUCUGUUGCCUUCUUCAGAUUAAAGGCAACUAAUAAACGGGUUAAGGGGUUAUGAGUUUGACUUGGUUGAGUUUGAAGCUACAAAAGUAAGAAAAAUGGUAGUAAUUUUGGAAGCAUUUCUAACUCUUCCAUAACUUGAAAGAUAAAAAAAUUUAAGCGUUAAAAAUGUUAAAAGAGCUUUUUAGAAUCACCCCAAAUGUACUCUAAAUUAUUUAUGACUUGAUGUCACCUUCACACUCAUUUUUCAGUGUCAUUUAAUUUUGGUGUUCCCAUAUUAAAGAUUUAGGGUAAUGUAAUAUUCAAGCCUUCGAAUUUUGCCUUCACUAACCUUUGAAUUUUAAUUAAAUUCUUUGAAGGAUAUUUGACCACUUCAUUGUCCAAAAAUGCUUAUAUUGCCAUUUUUUUGGGUCUUUUUCUAUAAUUCCAAUUUUACUAUUUUUCUUUUAUUUAUUCCUAUUAUUAUUUAGGCUAUUAUAUAUAAUAUUCUUAAUAUUAUAUUUAUAAUUGUUAAUAGUAUAAUUACUUUUUUUUCAUUUAUUUGUCAUUUAUAUUGCUUAUCUUAUCUUUAAUCAUGUAUAAGACUCAAAAACUGCAGAAAACAUUAAUAAGUAACUACUAAACUUCAAAGAGAUAAUAAAAUUCAACUACAUUGAUAUUACAAUAAUACAAAUGAAAUAUAUACCAACCAGCCCUUAAAGGGGCUUUUAAGAAAUAAUGAGUCUACUUCAGAUUGACAUUUAAAGUAGAAUCACCAUCUCUAUAGAUAAAUAUGAAGCCUAAAAAGAACAGAACAUCACUAAAUAAUAUUAAUAAAGCAACAAUUAGAUCAAUUGAUAGUGAAAAUAAAGGUUUACAAGAUGAAUCACAUAAAUAAGAACAACUAAAUUGAGAAACAAAUUACAUGUCUGACAAAUCUAAUGAGGGAAAACAUUGGAGCUAGGUGCCCAAUGAUUGGCUCCUUGAAGUUGACCUACCUCCUCAAUAGGUACAUAGGAGUCCUUACCUAAAAAAACAUUAAAAUCAAUAGGGCGAACAUAAGAUCUAAUAAAGGAUAUGAGUUUUCCUUUUUGUGCACCAAAGGAAGAUAAUGAAGUAGAAGAAAAUGAUGAGAAUUUUUUUUUUGGAAAAUAUGGGGAGUCGUUCUGUAAAUGAAGCAGAAGAGGAGAAGUUGUAAGUGUUGGAGAGAAAAAAGAAGAAGGACAUUUUUGUCUCAAUCAACAAUUUUGUUUUGUUUUUUAACCGGUGGGUUAUAUAUGCAAAUGUGGGGGUUAUUUUGACCCCUUUAACCAAAUAUCCCUCUUUUUUAUCGAGUUACAACUUUAAAUUAGGUGUAAAAAGAAAUUUUGAUAUGGUAGAUACUAUACAGUUAUAUAUUGAAAUUCCAUGGUUCAUUAGAUAAACCAUCCUUGAAUUUCUUUGGUUUCAAUCAAGAUGAUAGAUCAUCCUUCCACAGAGUGACCUAAUAUGACAUUGAUUUUCUAGGGCUUCAAACACGAAGGGUGUCAAUGACUAAGAACUCCGUUUGAUUGCCGAGAAAAUGAGGAAAAAAACCCUCAAAUAAAAUAUAAAUACAAUUAAGAAUUUCAAUUUUACAUUGUUAGGGACCCCAAAAAUGGGAACAUUCACUUAACUGAGCCUAAUCCAACCACCUACCUUAGUUCAAUCCAGUCCCCACUUUCUAGAAACCAAAACAAUAUAAACAUUCCUGUGUUUGACUAUUCAGAAAGCAUAUGAUAAGCAAAGAAAAGAACGGUGCCUCCUCAAUCAAACAAAUUUUUUUUUUUCCUUUUCUUUUCUUGCAUUUUCUUUUUUUCGGCAACCAAACAUAACUUUUUAAUUGAGCAUUGUUGUAUACAAUUUAGAUUUCUUUCCCUCGGUUUCUCCGUAACCAAACAGAAUUUUUCUCUAUUGAGCGAGAGUCUAGUAUAUCCUUCGUUUUCCUAUAACCAAACAGAACUUCCCUUGUUAUUUUUUUUAAUCUUUUCUUUGAAUUUCUCGGAAACCCAACGGAGUUUACUUCUGGUGCAACCGUGCAAGAAAAUGGUUUUACCUGAUCGCAGUUCACCGGACUAACUGAAGCAACAGAGGCUUAAGAAAAAGAGACUGAGCUUUGUUUGUUAGACCCCCUAUGUGAGUAUGCAAAGUAAGAAGAACUGAAGCUGAAAUUAGGCGGCUUCCAAACACGUCCUAGGAGUUGGUUUUAAAACCCAUUUUUCCCCUUUUUGGUUGCAAUCGGUCUGCAAAGAUGCCAUUAAAAGGUAACCGUAGUUGGUUGCAUGAAUAAGAAAAUGAAAAGAAAAGAAGUUAAAACUAAUUAAAAUUAUUUAAUAUUUACAUUGAAGAGUAAAAAUAAUUACAAUAUAUUUAAAUAAACACAUAAAAAUAAUAAUUUAUUAAUUUUAAAUCUAUUUUUAAAAUUUUCAAUUUUUCAUUUAUUUUAUUCCCUCUAAGCUUUCUAACUAAGGUCAUAAUUUGGACAAAUUGUUGGAUUCAUAACUAAUCUAAAUAAUCUAAUAGAGAUAAAUAAAUAAUUAAUUUAAGUUCAACCCAACCUCUAAGCUUUCUAACUAAGGUCAUAAUUUGGACAAAUUGUUGGAUUCAUAGCUAAUCUGAAUAAUCUAAUAGAGAUAAAUAAAUAAUUAAUUUAAGUUCAACCCAACCUCUAAGCUUUCUAACUAGGGUCAUAACUUGAACAAAUUGGAUGGUUAACAUACAACUUGGACAUAUUGGUGGGUUCAUAGCUAAUCUGAAUAAUUUAAUAGGGAUUAAUAAAUAAUUAAUUUAAGUUUAGCCCCACCUCUAAACAAAGGUAUUUAAUUCAAUCUCAACCAACUUCAUUUCUUCGAGCUCUGGUUGAUGAGGUUAAACUUGGGUUAGCCCUUGAUUGUAUAAUUCAAAAUACAUGUAGAAUGUUUUUUAAUAAAAAAAAAUUUAUAUACUUAUAUCAAAUUUUAAAUAGUAAGUAGGACAAAACUUUAAAAUAACAAAAAAAAAACAAAAAAAAAAAACAAAAGCAAAAACAAAGUUAUAUAUCUUUUUUAAAAAGUAAAAAAAUAUAUUAUAUAAUAUAAUUUGAUUUUUUAUUUAUAAAAAUUUAGAAAGAAUAAAAUUAUUAUAUAAAAUAACAUAUAUUGGAAAUAUUAUAAAAACACUAAAAGUUUGUUCAGUAGUUAUUCAAAUAAGUGUUUCUAUCCAUAAUUUAAACUUUGGUUUCAAUCUAACUUGAAUUGAAUUUGAGUUGAAAAAGUUUAACUUGAAUAUUAAAAAUAAUUGUCUAAACACGAUCAAAUAUCGGAUUGGAUUCGACUAAUCUGCCAAAGUUGCACUCCUACCAAGAACCAUACACAAUAAAAAGAUUUUAAGAUAUUUUUUGUUCUAGGAAAGUACUCAAAAAGGAGAAAUAAAGAAAAAAAAUGAUUCUAUAUGUAUAAUUAAAAUUAGUUAAAUUUUAUAUAUUUUAAAAUUAUUUAAUUUUUUUUAUAUGGAAAAGAAAAAAAAAGAGUGAAGUAAGUUUGAAAAAACAAGUAAAAAUGAUUUGUUAACUUUAAUAUUUUUUUUCUUUUCUUUUCUUCUAUUUUUUUCUUUUUAGUUUAUUUUUCUCAAAUUUUUCAAAAAAUAAACAUAGAAUUAAAAAAUAAGAAAUAAUUACAGAAUUGGAAACCAAUUUUAGAACUUGCUUAUAUGAUUGCAUUAGUUUGUGUAAAUAAUAAUUUUAUUGAAUGUUAAGAGAGUGGUAUUAAAUGCACAUUAUUUAAUAUUUUUAUUUCUAAAGAAAGUAAUCUUUACAUGGAUUGGACCAGUGUUUAUUUAUCCAUGUGGGCCAGCCCAUUAAAAACAUCAAACCAACAACUCAAGGGACGACCCUGGUCAUUCUCGGGGGCCCACAACCUUCAUCUCAAACAAAAGCCCAUGGGCAGGAUCACCUUCCACACACAUCUUCAUACCAGCCACCACGCUACCAACAAUCCUCCUCCAUGAAAGCCCACCUCCAUCACAGCAAGCAGAAAAUCCAACACGCCAACCAUCAACCUCCGCACAGACCUAACACUGCAUAGCCGUGUUUUAGGAGUGUUAGGACGUGAUUAGAGAGGAUCUACUUUGAGUGUUCAUGGAGUUUCGCUAUAAGAGGAAUCAGUUUACCAAAAAUUCUUCAUGAAACCAUCCAUUUAUCUCAG